UUUUUUUUUUUUUUUGGUAUUACGGUGGGAUGGCAUCACCUUGAUGCUUUUGGACUACCUAUGCAGCCCCUGUUGGGUUUGCUACUUCACAACCACGGGCCUGCAACCCAAGUUUCUUGGUCCACAGCUUGCAAGCCUAGCUUGCUGGGCCCCCGUGUCACUGCUUGCAACAAACCGAAGUCAACCCAUGCGGCUAGGGCUUGCCGCGCCAAACCCAAAAGCCGACAACCUUGCUGGGCCUUGCCCCAUGCCAUCUCCCUCGGCCCAAACUGAAACCCAUUUGUGGCUAGGGUUUUCUCGCACCCACCGUGGCCUGUAGCCCACUCCCAAGGUCCUUUUGGACCUUGCCUUUUACUCAAGGCACCCAACCCGAGCCCAAUUAUUUAUUAGGGCUAUAUUUUCGACCCAAUAAUAUUAUUUUAAUAUUAUUUAGCUUCUAUAAUCGACUCCGUAUGGCCUGAUUUAUUGAAUUAAUUAAAAGUGCCUGCGGUCCAUUAAUUUGAUAAUAAAUCCAAAAUUAUUGACCUGAAGAUCACUUUUGGACAUUAAGGAUUCAAUAAUUUAUAUUUAUACUUUAAAUCGUCACAUACUUUCGUAGUAACGAAGCUCUCACACUUGAGUUCCCGAAGAACCUAAAAUUCACUAUAUUCAAAUUAGUUUAUUGCAUUCUAUGUUUCUUGCAAGAACCUCUCAUUAUGAACUAAUUGUUCAUACAACUAAAUUGAACCUGUAGUUUCAAAUUUAGUGCCUUUGAAACCCGAAGUUUUCAUUUAAAACAUACCACAUGAAACCUGUAGUUUUCAUGCAUAAAUUAAACCAAUACAUGUCUAUAGAACCUGUAUGUUCUACGAUAUAUGUCUAUGGCUUACCAUAUGACUAAUCAUUUUUUUUCCUCAAUUUUAGGGACAUGUCGAACUUGAACAAGCUUGAUUUCUCCGCUCUAGAAGUCUUUGGAAGGAACUAUCUGAAGUGGGUUCAAGAUGUGAAGCUCCAUAUAAUUGCAAAGGGUAUUAAAGCCACCAUCGAGGCACCUAUCGCCGACAAACCUAUUAACGAAGCUCAAAAGGCUACUGCAAUGAUCUUCAUUCAAAGACACAUACAUGAUGCACUGCAGACUGAGUAUCUAGCUGAGGAAGACCCACGCACCCUCUGGCUUGCUCUGACUGACCGUUUCGAUCACCAGAAAGACAUAUAAUUGCCUGAAGCAAGACACGACUGACAGCAUCUUCGCUUAUAGGACUUUAAGUCUGUGAAUGAAUACAACUCUGAAGUUUGUAGAAUCUGUUCAUUGUUGAAGAUCUGCAAAGUGGAACUCAUGGAAUUGGAUCUCCUGGAGAAUACCUAUUCGACCUUUCAUGCCAUCAAUAUUGUCCUGUAGCAACAAAACAGGCACAUAAAUUCACCAAGUUUUUGGAUUUGAUCUUUGUUUUACUUUUCGUUGAAAAGUAGAACCAGCUUUUGAUGAAGAAUCAUCAAGCUCGACCCACUGGCUUGAACGCUGUGCCUGAAGUGCAGGCGACCAAUUCUAGUAGCCAUAAACGACGAAAGAAUUGUUGUAGCAGUGGAAAUAGGCGGCAAGCCCAACCACGGGCCCAAGGUCAAUAGAGUGCCGCACAUAAGGGAAGAAAUGUGACCCAACAGCGUCCACCACUCGCCCCUAAGGCCCCAAACUCCAAGAACAAGGGCAAAGCUCUCAUUUAGCCUGCUUCUACUAUACUGGACAUGUGAUAUCAUUGUGGAUCAAAGGAUCAUUGGUCACACGUAUGCCGAGCUUCCCUUGAGGCUAUUGCCAAGUAUUAUUCCCAUCGUGAGUCUAGCUUUACACAUAUGGAUCAUCCGGAAGAUGCAACUACAUCAAUGGAGUUACCGGAUUUUCAAGAGGCAUCAAUGCCUAUGGAUGAAUAAAUUAGACAUGUUUUUAGGGCUUUUACUUCUAGUGGCCGAACCCACUAGGAGUGGCCGGCCUUACCCCUUAUUUUGCUAGGUUUAUGGUUUAAUUUUGAACAAUUUUUCUAAGUAUUUGGAAUAAUUUGUUUGGUUUUGGUUUGUUUUGAAUUAUGGAUUGUUAUUUGAAUGGAUAUUAUUUUCUUGAAUUGCUUAAUUGAAUGAAUGGACUUAUAUUUAUCCAUGUGACCAAUUCAAUCAAUUUAUUUCUAGGUAUGUCUAGUGGGAAAGUUAGUUGUCUAGCAGAUAGUGUAACCACGCACACCAUCUUGCGUGAACGAAACUAUUUUACUAACUUAAUACCCAAGAAAGCUCAUUUGACAACUCUCUCAGGCUCAUCUAACCUGAUUGAAGGAUAUGGAAAGGCACAUAUCAUGUUGUCUAAUGGUACAAUUUUAACAAUUAAGAAGGCACUCUAUUCUCCACGUUUUGGAAGAACGUUGCUGUGUUUUAGAGAUAUUCGAGAUAAUCAAUAUCAUAUUGAAACCAUUGAAGAUAAUGGUUCUGAAUUUCUUUGUAUUACUUCAUACAAAUAUGGCCAAAAACGUAUUCACGAAAAGUUGGAAUGUCUGCCGAGUGGGUUAUACAUCACAACCAUUCACAGCAUAGAAGCCCAUAAUGUGGUUGGCCCUAUACUUGAGUUCUAGGACAUUUUGUUGCUUUGGCAUGACCGUUUGGGACAUCCUGGACGUGACAUGAUGCGCCGUAUCCUCAAAUCUUCACACAAGCAUAAGUUAAAUCCAUAUGUUGGACUCCUACCAUUCAAAGCGUGUUCUUUAGGAAAGUUGAAUACUCAACCUUCAUAUACAAAGAUUAUUCACGACCCCUCUAAGUUUCUUAAGAGGAUUUAAGGGGACAUUUGUGGACCUAUCCAACCAACAUGCGGACCAUUUAGAUACUUUAUGGUGUUGGUUGAUGCAUCGACAUGAUGGUCACAUGUUUGCUUAUUGUCCACACGCAACGCCAUGUUUGUUAAACUCCUAGCUUAAAUCAUUAAGCUAAGGGUUCACCACCCUGAUUAUCCGAUUAAGUCGAUUCGACAGGAUAACGUUGGAAAGUUUACGUCAUAGACUUUUGAUGAUUAUUGCAUGUUAGUAGGGAUUGAAGUGGAACAUCCUAUACCCCAUGUUCACACCUAAAACGGCCUGGCAGAAGCUUUCAUAAAACGCCUUCAAUUGAUAGCUCAGACUUUGGUUAUGAGAACCAAACUGCCGAUAUCUGCUUAGGGCUAUGCAAUAUUGCAUGCAGCUUUGUUGGUCCACUUGAGGCCUACCGUUACAGUUGGCUACUAGAUAUGAGCCUGAUGUCUCCCAUUUACUGGUGUUUGGGUGCGCCAUUUAUGUGCCAGUAACGCCGUCGCUACAUACCAAAAUGGGUCCUCAGAGAAAAAUGGGAAUCUAUGUCGGUUAUGAUUCGCCAUCAAUUGUUCGUUACUUAGAACCCUUGACAGGAGAUCUCUUUACCGCACGUUUUACGGAUUGUCACUUUGAUGAGACAGUCUUCCCGUCAUUAUGGGAGAUAAGCAUGCUAACAUUCUUGUAGAACACUACGAAUUGUCGUGGUAUGCUUCCACUGUGUCUCAUUUUGAUCCCCGCACUGCCCAGUCUGAAACUGAGGUGCAACAAAUUAUAGAUCUUCAGAGCAUUGCUCAAAGCACGUCAAAUGCUUUUAAUGGAGUGACGACUGGUUCGACCAUGACUUGGGUGGUGGAAUGAACUUCAGUCGCUUAAUCUAUUAGAGUGUUUUGCUGCAUUCCCGUCAAGGCCUAGACGGCAGGAGAAGAGAAAUGGACACUAGGAGUAGUUGCUCAUGUGGUUUGACUUGAAAUAAUGUGUAUCUCCUACUCUCUCUUCUUUGGCUUCUUUUUUUAUACGCUUCUGGGGCCGGGUAAUGAUGUCAGUUGUUUUGACCUCUAGGUGAGGCCGUUUGCUCAGUUUGGUUGGAGCGGUAGGGGUUACUGCUAAAGUUGGUCCGGUCGAGGGAGGUGCAACGGUCGCGGCCUUCUUGGGAGGAGGGUGUUUUUUCUUCUUAACCAUAACCAUUGCGACCACAUCGGCCCGUUUCAUUAACCAACCACUUAGAAAAAACUAAGUAUGAGUCAGAACAAAGUUGCAUAGACAAAGCUAAGGGGUGACAAGGAAAUGAAGAGAUAUGUACCUUGGGCCAAUUCUUUGGAUUUUGGGGCGAGAGUCUUUUAAGGCCGAUCGCCAAAGAGUUUCUUCGAAGUUUCCUCAGCCGUAUCACCGAAGAAAUCCUUCAUAUAAGUAUCCCACCAAUUGGCAAAUGUGCUGGUACAAUGGGUUUCUAGGGUGUUCGGUCGAAGUUGAAAUUUUAAGCAUCGCUCUUGGAACUCCUUCUCGGCAUUGUUGCACUCCCUCUUUGAGGAGCCAAAGAAGCAUUCUCAACUCAAGAGAGAACGAGAAAUAAGGAGUGGUAGUGCAUAGUCCUGAAGAAAACCCAAUUGACGAACUAGGAAGUUAGGAUGAUAAAUUUCCCAGCUAGCCCACCGAGUGUCGCAACCAAAAAGGCGAAGGAUCCCUAAGACUAUCGUAGGUCAGCCUCUUUUGCUUCAUCCCAAGUCGAGGUUAAGAGUGUGAUGGACGACGGGUAUUUUUGGUAGGAAUUCAUCGUUUGAAAGGUUUUCUAGGCCGAAGAAAUACUUGAAGAUUCAUUCGGCUGAGUGAGUAGGAAAUGAGCGCAAGUCCAGUUGUAGACCCACUGCUUUGGAAUAAUUGAAGCUUGGGAUUUUUGGCCUUAAUGUUGGGAAAUAAACUUGUGGCCAGAAUUGGAAAACCCAGAGUGGGCCAUUCUGGUGUGGGUCGAUUUUUCCAACAUAAGCCUCGGCCGAGCAUAUGUCAAGGUUAGCAAGGACGGCCGGGCUAAGGGUCAAGACAUAACCACUAGCUAGGGCUUCGACCACUGACAUGUUUUCGGCCAGGCAUUUGUUGGAUUUGGUACAGAAGAUAAACUUGUUAUACCAGUAAAACAGGAAGGCUUCGUGCUCUCAUUUCUUCAAAGUUUCUCCUUCCGAACCGGCGAAAUGGGUGAUCAGAGUGUUAUAGUUAAUGAAAUUAUUGUGCAAUUUUUGCACUUCUUCUUUCGACGGCCUCGGGUUCUUUAACAGAACUUUGACGACCCGCUCGUUGCAGAUUGCCUUCAGAUCCAGGUCAAAUUUGUACCCAAAUAGAGCAACGUCGAUUGGAAGACCGAAAUGAGAGGUGUCUAGUAUGGCCGUGAUGUCCAACAUAGUUGGACCGAUGGGGCCGAGAAGAAGGAUCAUGGUGUUGAUGGCUGAACACCAAAAGCUCAGGGUAGGCAUCAGGAGUUCUCGAUCUAAGACGAUUUCAAAGGUUGAGAGCUUGAUGGCAUCAAAGAUACCGAGGGUUUUCCACUCGCCACCAUAGUGUGGUUCCAUUCGAGUAACCCAAGUAGCUCAGGCCGCUGUGGUCGAGGGCCAGGCUGUUUGGGGUCUAGUCGAUUCCCACUUCGGCUAGUCGUAACCUUAGAGCAAGAGUUUGCAAUGGUCUUUCAACAUAUGGGUGAUGGUUUCUGGGAUGAUGUCCUUAAAAAGGGGUCCCAAAGUCUGGUGAAGGGUUGAUUCAUCUUCAGAACGGAUCACUUUAAUGGCGUUCCGAUUGAUAAUGUCUUGGCAUUUGGUGUACUCCUCAACAAGCUUAGUGAUGAAAGUGUUGGCAGCCAUUGAUGAAAGCUGGGGGGUUUUCUGGGUUUUGAAAGAUUGUUUUCUGGGUUGGAAGCAAAUGGUAGGAGAUUCUGGAAUUAAAAAGGAGUUUUUGAAGAUUUGUAAACGUAAGGAAAAAAUGAGUAAGGAUAAAUUGAGUAUUUAUAGGUGUUUGAGAAGGGAGACCUACAGUUCAAUUUUGAAAAUAAGGGGUAAAUCCGACCGAAAAGUUUGUAAACAUGGAAAAUAUUUAAAGAACCCAGGUGAAGAGGCCGAAAAGCUCACGGUUUGAGGUGACAUGAUGGUGAGUUUAAAUGGUAAGGAGACGCUUCGGUAUCUGCACGUUUCAAAUAUCAUCAUUGAAGGGCAAACGUAUUAAAGAGAUGCUAUGUGGCAGGGAAUUUGACAGGAUUGAGAUGGUGCAAUCGUGCCUUAGAAAUGCGCCUGAUUGGUUGAAAUAUUCGAAGAAGGCCGCGUGUCUUUCAAGAAUAUGCUAAGGGUGUAUUUCGCUUCUUUAAGGCCGAAGAUUGACUAGGAAUUAUAGGCAAAAGACCUCAGAAGCGAGGGAGCAAUAUUUGGGGCCAAAAUGAUAAUUUGGGCUGAGCUUAGAGUCUUUUUUGACCCAGUACCUUCAUUGAGAAUUUUGUUAUAGGCCUUUGUUAGUUGUCAUGGGCCGUCUAGUUAGGAUCAGCCAAAUUGUAUUCCGAUGAGGGUUAGUUCGAAUAAAGAUGCAAUAAUCGAAACCUAGCACAAUGAGGAGUUUUGAGGCUAAUGAUGAUGAAAGUUAGGGAUGAAUCUUGUUUGAUAAAAGAGCUUGGUUCAAAGUCCUAGUAGGAUUAGGAUUGGCCAAGACCGAGUUAGAUUAGAAUGAGGAGUUCUAAUCUGAGUACAAUUGUAGCUUGGCUAUGAAGAAAUUUGCUACUAUAAAUAGAUGAGGGAGUGCAUCAGUUAAGCCCCCUCCAAUUCAACACACAAAUUGCCCUGCGCAAACCUCUCAAACACCUUGAGAUUUUUAUUUUCUUUUUUCGCUAAUACAUCUUCAGUUUGGAUAAACAACACUGUGAAGGUAACCGACAACAUCUUCAGUUUGGAUAAACAAUACUGGAGUCGUAGAAUCAGUCGAUCAAGGAGCACCUUCAGUUUGGAUAAACAACACUGCUUCUCGACCGACUGGUUAUUUAUCCAAGUCUCGAUCAGCAAGGAUUUCUAAAUCCCUGUUGGUAGAGGUCAUCUCAUUAGCCUUCUCAGCGAAGUGAGGUGUUAUUAGGUUACUACAUUCGGCACAUUGAAAGCCGAAUUUGAUAUUGAACUUCACAGAACUAGCAGCCUUGUCUUUAGGCUUUAGAACCCGAAGGCUGAGACGUGUUUCUUCUUUGGCCGCAGUUGCAAGAUCAAGAAAUCAGCAGCGCACCCAAUGCAACAUCGACACAUUUUACUCCCCAGCCAAGCUCACCUGACGAGUUGGCAUGCCCCGCACACAACUGAAUGACGUAGUUAGCUUAUUAAUUACUCGGCAUGCGCGCCAUGUAGGCUUGGUAGUUUUUAGGUUCAACACUAAUAUACUCACUUUUUUAUUUGACUCAAUCAAAAGAUGUAAUGUCUUCCUUGUUUUUUAAAGUUAAAAAAAAAAAAAAAUUAUAUGCCUAUUAUUUUUAAAAACAAUAAAACAUAUGUUAAAUAUUAUUGGGCCAAAAUGAAAAUGUGAGUAUCCAGGAUACUCACUAAUGACUACCUAAGUAUUAUCUGUACUAAAAUACAGAUUAGAUGUGGACCUUGAAUAUUGGUAUAAUAAUUUAUAACUUUUAACCUUGGUUUUCUUCUUGAUGUUGGUGUGUAGAAGAUGAUAGACAUAAUUUUGGUGAGAAUAUUUGACAUUAAAAAUACGUUUUCCGUGAAGAAAUUAAAUAGUACAAAAAGUUUCAAUCAAUCAGUUAGGUAUUUAGAAACAGUACCUACCUGGAAGGAACAUAUCUAUAUAUUGGUUUUGCUUCCAAGAUUUCUUUCAGUUUAAUUUCCUACUUGAUUUUGAGAAAUUCGUAAAGAAUAGGGUUUCAAAAAUCUCAGACCAAGGACAACCAACCACCUCUCAUUUUAGAAGGAUAAUCCAAUUUUUCUAAACAUGCAUGACUUGCCAUAUAUGCAAACUUGCAAAUUAUGUUCUUUGCUUGUUCUGUAUGACUUGUGGACCACUUCUCAGUCAAAGACUAACGCGUAAUACUACAACAACAACAACAAAGCCUUUUUCCACUAAGUGGGGUCGGCUAUAUGAAUCCUAGAACGCCAUUGCGCUCAGUUAUGUGUCAUGUCAUCCGUUAGAUCCAAGUACUCUAAGUUUUUUCUUAGGGUCUCUUCUCCUCAACCCUUUCGGCCUUGAACCUCUGUCCCGUAGUCACAUCUUCGAACUGGAGUGUCAGUAGGCUUUCUUUGCACAUGUCCAAACCACCGUAACCAGUUUUCUCUCAUCUUUCCUUCAAUUUCGGUUACUCCUACUUUACCUCGGAUAUCUUUAUUCCUAAUCUUAUCCUUUCUCAUGUGCUCACACAUCCAACGAAGCAUCCUCAUCUCCGCUACACCCAUUUUAUGUACGUGUUGAUGCUUCACCGCCCAACAUUCUGUGCUAUACAGCAUCGCCGGCCUUAUUGCCGUCCUAUAAAAUUUUCCCUUGAGGUUCAGUGGCAUAUAGCGGUCACACAGCAUGCCGGAUGCACUCUUCCACUUCAUCCAUCCAGCUUGUAUUCUAUGGUUGAGGUCUCCAUCUGAUUCUCCAUUUUUUGCAAGAUAGAUCAUAGGUAGCGAAAGCGGUCACUCUUUGGUAUUUCCUGAUCUCCAAUCCUUACCCCUAACUUAUUUUGGCCUCCAUUUGCACUGAACUUGCACUCCAUAUAUUCUGUCUUUGAUCGGCUUAGGCAAAGACCUUUAGAUUCCAACACUUUUCUCCAAAGGUUAAGCUUCGCAUUUACCCUUUCCUGAGUUUCAUCUAUCAACACUAUAUCGUCUGGGAGAAGCAUACACCAAGGAAUAUCAUCUUGAAUAUGUCUUGUUAACUCAUCCAUUACCAAUGCAAAAGGUAAAGACUUAAGGAUGAGCCUUGAUGUAACCCUACAGUUAUGGGGAAGCUUUCGGUUUGUCCUUCAUGAGUUCUUAUGGCAGUCGUUGCUCCAUCAUACAUAUCCUUUAUAGCUUGGAUAUAUGCUACUCGUACUCCUUUCUUCUCUAAAAUCCUCAAAAGAAUGUCUCUUGGGACCCUAUCAUACGCUUUUUCCAAAUCUAUAAAGACCAUGUGUAAAUCCUUUUUCCCAUCUCUAUAUCUUUUUCGUAAGAGAUAGAUUGCCUCCAUGAUUGAGCGCUCUGUCAUGAACCCGAAUUGGUUGUCCGAAACCCGUGUCUCUUGCCUCAAUCAAUGCUCAAUGACUCUCUCCCAGAGCUUCAUUGUAUGACUCAUUAGCUUAAUACCCCUAUAGUUUAUGCAAUUUUGUACGUCGCCCUUAUUCUUGUAGAUAAGCACCAAAGUGCUAUUUCACCACUCAUUUGGCAUCUUCUUCGUUUUGAAAAUCCUAUUGAAAAGGUCAGUGAGCCAUGCUUACCCGUCUCUCCCAAGACCUUCCACACUUCGAUCGGUAUAUCAUCUGUGCCCACUGUUUUCUAUGCUUCAUCUUUUUCCAAACUACAACCACUUCUUUCUUCUUGAUUUGGCGGUAAAAUAAGUAGUUUCUACACUCUUCUGAGUUACUUAACUCCCCCAAAGAAGUACUCAUUUCAUGUCAUUCCUUGAAAAGAUUAUAAAAAUAACACAUCACACCCACCUACCAAGUUUAUGAAAAUAACAAUCUUUGGAGUAAUAAUUAAGAUAAAAUAGCACAUAACACCCACCUACCGAGUUUAUGAAUUAGACGAUGACGGAUGAUAAGCUUGCAUGCAAUAACAUAACAAGUGCGUAGACGAAAAAAGUAUGAAGAGUUGUAUUCUUUUUAAAUUAGAGUUCGUAUGAUCGAUAAUCUAAUCUAUCUAUAACGAGUCUUAAAGUUCCUUUUACACCAUAAAUAACUAAUAAAGGAUAGUGAAAUUACCUUAAUUUUAACAUUGAAGUAUGACAAAAUUUAUUGAAGAAAAGUUUGAAGGUUGAAAUAGUCGAGAGAUGCUGCAUGCUGUAUUCACAUGCAUUUUUCUUCUGAUGAAGCCAAAUCCUUGACUAGCAAUCAGAAAAAUAAUAGGUAGCGAAAACGGUCGGUGAGAAUUUGCUUUGGGUUUAGUGUUUAGGUGAGGUGGGUCUAGAAUCAUCAUUAAUUUAGACCAAGUUGGUAUUUUGUUAAUUUAGAGCAAGUUGGCACCAGAACCCCAAAGUUAAAACACUUUUUUUUUUUUUUGGUAGAAAUCCAAAUGAUGAUGCUCCAUGACCUUUGUAUUGGAAUCUCUCCUUUUAUAUUUCUGCGGCUUCCAAGAGACGGUCGAUGAGAAUUUGCUUUGGGUUUAGUGUUUAGGUGACGUGGGUCGAAGAGGGUUUAGUGUUUAGGUGACGUGGGUCGAAGAAACACUCCAAACGUGAUUAAGAGUAAUCAAAUAAAAUGAAAAGAUUAAAUAAGGUCCUGAUGUCAGUUAGACUUUUGGGCUCUAUUUAAGAAUGCUUAUUUUGAAAAGAGAUGUGAUAUCCACACACACCUUUUUAUUUCUCACAAAUCUUUUUAAUUUUCGGUCGUUGGAUCAGAUGAAUUGAAGAAGAUCAACGAACAUAAAUUAACAAGGGGUGUGUGAGAAGUAAAAAGAUAUGUGUAGAUAGCACACCUAUUUUGAAAAGCACUGUCUGUUAAUAAGCUUUUUUUUUUUUCCCUUCUAAAAAUACCUUUAUUUGAUUCAUGUUGUUCUUUUUAUUAAAAAUUUAAGUUUUUUAUAAAAAUUUAUUUGGACCUACUUAUUUAAAAAACACGAUACAUACUUUAGAAAUUGCUUUUUUACUUAAAAGCAUAUUCAGGUUUUUCUGCAAACUGAGAAAAAAACACUUCUGGUCGUGAGAAGAAACUUUUUACCCUCACAGAAGUAGCCCUACAAAAUCCUUAGAACCAAGGUAUUAAAUAUCGAUGAUAUCGGAAAUAUCGGUAGUCUGAAAACAUGGAAAUAUCGAUGGAAAUAUCGGGAUAAUAUCGAUAUUGAUAAAAAUAAUAUGAAGACCACGGAAAUUGUAAGAAAAACUUGGAAAUUUUUAUUGAAACUUUGUAGGAUGUUUAUUUAGUCAAUUAUCUAUUAGUUUAUCACAAAAAAUUGGAAGGAAAUGCAUUGCAUGAUGGAUUUAACAUUAUCAAGUUGAUUAUAUAGUGAGCUGACAAACAUUGUUAGUGUAGAAAAUAUGUAGUAAUUAAUGAAAGAAGUUUAAACACACCAUAAUCAUUUAUAUAUACAAUAUUUUACACUUUAUACAUUGCAUGGUAAGAUACAUGAGUCACUUAGUACCACAUAGAGUUCCUAUGAGGUUCAAAAUUUUCACUAUCUUCAUCAUCUCUAUGUGUAGAGUGAGUGUAUUGUGAAGAGUAGUUAUCAAAUGAUAAACCCCCAAAAUAGUUUUGUAUGUAAUUGUUAACAUGCCACCUAUAUGGAUCCGAGAUUGGUUGACCUUGUCCAUAAGCAAAAUCAUUUGAAGAUUGAGUCUCGGAUUGUUUCCAUGAGUUGCUCGAUUCCAUCCUAACAGGAAUGAGAUAUGAAGGGUAAGGAAAUGGUUGGUUAUGAGUAUAACCUUAGUUACUACUUCCUACUCCAACAGUCCGAAGUUAUAGAUAACGAGUCAUUUUCUUGACUUGACAAAAUCCCCUUGCCUCUUUCUCUAUGAGUAUAGUCCUUCCCUAUGGCACAAAUUCCUGGUCCUACCCGCCUACUGCCAUGGUCCUCAUCCUGUGUUGCAUGCAUGAAGUUUGCCUCACCAGUGAAGGGGCUCAUAAAUCCGGGAGGUGGUCCAACGUAGUUUCCAUAUCCACCACCACUACCUCUAGCUCCACUAUAUCCUUCAUCAUUCUCACCUCCGGUGGUAGGUGAGUCUCCUCCUGAUCUUGUACUAGAGCUAUCAUUAGUAUCAGCACGAUGUUGUGGUUGUGUAGGAUUGGAAGAAGGUGAAAUUCCAGUGUUUCUUGGUCUUGGGCACAAAAGUUCUUCCAAAGAAUCAGCGCUGCUAGAUCCCACCUCCUCCGCUAAUACUCUUUCUACAUUUAUCCCUUCAUUACGUGCUUCUUCAGCAACUCUGAGAGUUGGGUUGCCUUCAUCAUUAUCUAAAUGAAGAGGUCUAAUCCAUUGAUAAAGUUGGUUACCUUCUGUAUCAUCAUCUUCAGCAACAAUAUCAAACACAUCUAGUGGGUCACCACGGUCAACAUGAUCUAUUUCUGCUUCCUUAUCUCGAAUUUGAAGCUUCAUGUUGUAGUAGUAAUAAACUAUUUUUUCCAACCUACUAUGAGCCAACCUAUUUUUUUGCUUUGUGUGUAUGAGGGCAAAUGUACUCCAAUUUCUUUCACAAGCAGAUGAUGAAGCUAUUUGUGAUAAUACUUUGAUUGCUAACUUUCUCACAGUUGGUGCAUCGGUCCCAUACAUGAUCCCCAUUCAGCUACAAUGAAAAACAAUGUUGAUAAGCCUAAUAACUCCAACAAAUUCUAUUAUAAACUUAUCGUGAAAUAUGUUUACACUCACUAGGAGACAUUUUUGUUCGAGCAGCAACUGAUGUUGGUUCUCCAAAAGUUCUUCUUGCAUCUUUAAACCAUAUUAACUGAAUUCAAUAAAUCGUAGUAGUUUAAUCCAACAAAGUAAUUAUUAUAAUUUAAGUAAUUGUGUACUUCAUUUCCAAAUUGGCCAACUGCUGGUGAUACAGGGUCUAAUUUAGAGUAUACAUUAUGUACAACACGUAUAAGGGUACCAUCAUCUCCAACACCGGGUCUAUAUUGGUAUUGAGGAUUCAAAUAAUAUGCUGUUCAAAGAAACACAUACUCUAAUAAGAGAAAUAAUACUUAUGCAACUAAAGAAAUGAAUUGCAAAUUAUGACAUAAUUUAUACCUGCUGCAUGCAAAUCGUGGUAUAAUGUUUUAUACCAUCGGUCUUCAAUUAUCUUUAUGACCCACCUUGCAUCAUGUUUUCUUUCCAAUUCAUCAUUCACUACACGCAUCAACUCAUAUAUUGCCCCCACAGCAGGAUACACUUCUGUGUCAACGAUCCGUAAAACUUUGUAAAGAGGUUCAAACACUUGGCACAUAUGUUCUGAUUGAGUCCAAAAAGCAUGAUCAAGCAUUAUACUUUCCACCACGACCUGCAUUUGAGCGGCUCAAAUUGUGGUUGGCCCAAUCGUCACUAGUGAAUAGUUGCUUCAACCCUGCUUUCUUUUUAAGUAGGCUGUUUAAUGCAAUAUAGUUGGUGGCGAAUCGAGUGGUAGCUGGACGAAUAAUUUCUCCUUUGCAAAAUUCACAUAUCUUUGCCAACAACCAACCGUGAUUGUAAAUAUAAUUUGUGAUCGUUCUAGCUCUUUUUACCACAGUAGCAACAUUCUCUCUCUUCCCCAUUGCCUCAAACAUGAGAUCAAUACAAUGUGCUGCACAUGAUGUCCAAAACACAUUAUGAUGCUUCAUUAACUUUUUUCCAGCUUUGACAAAUGCAGAACCGUUGUCGGUCACGACUUGGACAACAUUAUGCUCUCCCACCUCCAUGAUUACAUCCCUCAAUAAUUUGUAAAUAUACUUGUAGUUCUUUAUAUGGUCUGAAGAAUCAGCAGACUUAAAAAAAAUUGUCUUUCCCUUGGAGUAUACCAUGAAGUUUAUGAUAGACAAUAUGGUCGGCCCAGUCCAUCCGUCACACAUGAUUGUGGAACCAUUAAUUUUCCAUUUUGACCUCAACUUGUUAACAUACUCGACAAUGUCUUUAUACUCCCUAUCCAAAUAUUUGUUUCUUAUCUCAUAGGGAGUGGGAGGUUGUACUCCAACACCGGCCUGUUGACAUCCCACUACCAUAUUUUUGAAAUGAUGUGAUGAUACUUUCUCAGCAGUGACAUUUUCAUAGAUAAAGAACUAGCUAAUUAGACGCCCCAUUCCCUCAUUCACAUUACCUCCAGUGAAAUAACUCCAAACACUCUUUUGACGUGCUUUGGAUGACUUAUAUAAACUUGGGGCUAUUGGUGGUGUUGGUUGUGAUUCUCUAAGACUGCCUCCCCGUCUCAUUUGUGCACCACCACUUGUCCCGGAACCUUGUGCUCUAUUAGGAAUUUUAUGAAGGUGUUCUCUUUCCCAUGCUGACUGUUUGGAGGCACCUAAUGCUUGUUUCAAACUGCGUCGUUCUUCAGGUCCCAUGUCAUCAUCACAUUCGUCCUCAUCGUCAUCAUCAUCACUGUCAACCGCUUGGCCAAUGACUUCUCCUCGUAGCCUAGCUCGAAUAUUUUCCAUUCCAUGUGUUAUCUUUUCCUUCUGCUGUUUUUUAUUUUUUAAUAAUGUGCUGAUGAAUGCCUUCACUUCUGGGGGGACAUUAUCGCAUCAUUGGACAUUUUUUGCUGGAUCUAAUCCACUAAGAUGGUACUUAAGUCGUGUCACUCCGACACUCUUCAUUACCUGACCACAAUAUUUGCAAAUUGUGCCAUGUUUGUUUCCGUCUAUUGGGUCUCCAUGUUCCCAAGCUGGAUCAUGUUUAGUAACUCCACUGGACAUCUUAAACGUACCUAUAUUUAUUUUUCAUGAAAAUUAGACAAUUAUUUUUUGGCCAAAAAAUAUAGUAGUGAUGACGGUUAUAUAAGAGAACCUAAAUAAUAAAGUUAUUCUACAGAAGAAUUAAAUACGAAGUAAAGAAAAUGAUUGUAAAAAUUUAAGUAAUUAUAAAAAUAAUAUGGAAUAAUAAAGCCUAAUACUAAUGAAUAAUAAUCCAAUUUGAUAAAAAAAUAAUCCUAAUAUAAAACAUAGUGAUGAAUAAUAAUCCAAUUUGAUAAUAAUCCAAUUUAAUAAUAAUCCAAUUUAAUGAAUAAUAAUCCAAUUUGAUAAUAAAAAAAACCUAAUAUUAAUGAAUAAUAAUCCAAUUUGAUAAUAAAACCUAAUAUUAAUAAAAUAAUAAAUAACAUUAAACAUGUUAAAAUUAUCCUAGGGAAUAAUUAUACAACAUUACUUAAUUACUUAAAAAAAUUAACAUGUAAUUGUUAACAUUACUUAAUUACUUACAAAAAUUAACAUGCAAGUAUUAAUUACUUAAAAAAAAUUAACAUACGAGUCCACACAAAUUUUUUUCUUGUUGUAUGAAUUACAAUAAUAUAAAUAUAAGUUUAUAAACUUACUUUAAAUAUGGAACCCUUUGUGUUCAAGCUCUGGAAUGGAUCUGGAAUGGCUUUGAAAGGGGUAAAGGAAGAAGAAGAAACGAAAAUGCUCUGAAUGACUUUGAUACUCCACCUCUGAGAAUGUGAAACAAUGUCACAGACAAUGGCACACGGUUUUGAAUGUGAAAGAAUAUCAUAGACUCAUAGCGGCACACGAUUUUGAAUGUGAAAGAAUAUCACAGACUCACAGUGGCACACGAUUUCAUUAUGAAAGCACUAUUAUUUUUGUCCAUGGUCUGAAAUUGUAAGAAGUGAUUCUACAAGUUGUCAAGUGAGUGUGAGUCAAAUGACCCAACCACACACACACACCGACACGCCACCACACACACACACAACACAACACACGCACACAACACAACACAACACACGCACACAGUCUCUCUCUCUAGAUCUUUCUCUCUUCUGUCUUCUCUGAUCUCUCUUCUCCCCCUUUUCCAUUCUCCCACACACACACACAGAUCUCCCACACACAUGCACAGAGACCCAAGGUCUCUCGAUCCUUCUCCCACAUCGCCUUCUGCUCCUCCCUCGUUGGCGCCGUCUCUCUCCUUUCUCUCUGCACCGAGGGUCCGAGACCCACAUACACACACGCACACCAUCGCACCUGCUUCAAGAAGACACCCAUCAUCAUCAGCAACCUCGUCUUUCUCCCUCUCCUUCUCGUCUUUGCAACUCGGCGAACGCAGGAACUCCGGCGAGUUUCUUGAAUUUCUCCGGUUAGGUAAGCUUCGGGUUUGCCUCUUUCUGUUCUAGAUUGAAGCUUAUAUGUGAAAUUUAAGUUCAAAAUCGUGUUUUUGCAAGGUUUUUGGGACGAAAUCGGCUCGAGAAUAGGCACACCCAUCUCUAGCGAGGCCGUGAGUGUCGACGAACUUUUUGAACACCUCCGACCGUUUCACGGCAAACGAAAUUUAUAAAAACAUUCAUCUCAUCUUCUAUUUCAUUUUGAUACCUAGAUCGGAGUCUAGGGUGCUCUUUUACAGUCGGCCGGAGCUGUAGAAGCUCCGACGUUCUUCUCCAUUUAGCACAGUUCCAAAAUAUCGCGAUAGUUUCGGAAAUAUCGCGAUAUUAUCGAUAAUAUCACGAUAUUUUGACGAAAACCCUUUGGAUACCUAUUAAAAUAUCGUUAACGUGAAAAACUGAUAAUAUCGGCGAAAUAUCGCUGAUAUUAUCAGCAUUUAAGACCUUGCUUAGAACCACGUAAGAAUUUUUAUUUAUAAUGCAAUUUCUUCUUGAAAAACCAUUUGCAAUUCUUUUACAAUCCAUAAUUUCCUUUUUUAAAAAACCUUUUUCUAUCAAAUAUUACCAAAAUAACACUUCUGUUUUUUUUUAUUUUUUUUAUUUUUAUUUUUUAAAGAGACAACUGGUGGCAUUAUUCACAGAGGCAUUUCAGCCUUUUCCUAGCCAGAUUUGACAGCGGUUUUCGAAUCCGAGAUCUCUAAUUUUUAGUUUUAAAGAAGCAUCGUUAUCCUCUCUUUACCACUGGACCACCAGCUCGUGGUUAAACACUUCAGUUCAUUGAAAUUAUACUUAACCUUGACACUUGAAACAAAGCCCACGUCAACAAAAGUCCAAAAGGGCCGUUAUAGCCUUAAGUGAUUAGCAUUCGUGUCUGAGUUCCCUCUUCCCCUAUGAAUUAUACUGGCAUGUACGAUAAGUCCAAAAAGAGAAUCACAUAUUAAUCUUGUUGUGGCAUCCCGUGUUGUGCUUUGGCCUGUUAUCUCACCAACUUAUAAACCCACAGUUGAACAAUUUAAAAUACAAGAAAUAAAGACACCAAGAGAAUUACGAGGUUCGGCAAAAACCUGCCUACGUCAUCGGAGAGAUAUUGCUCUUCACUAUGAGAAUAGCUAGUACAAAAUAUACAUGAGUUAAAUUGACAUAACCCAAACCCCAAUCUCUUGUACACUCACAGAAUUUUUCCAAGAGCCUCACUCUCCCCUAGAGUUUCUCACUCUCACUUUAUUUUCUUUUCCCUCUGUGUUUUCCGGAUGCACCCCUGUCUUUCUUCACACUCGGCAAACAUUUAUAUACAAUGCAAGCAAUUCCUUGCAUUUAAAUAAAGGCCAUCAUUUCAAUCCCCCAGCUUUUACGGAAGGCUUUAUCAUUCCACAUGCUUUGCAUGAAACUAUGCAUCCCCUCCCUUUGCCUUUAAUCGAAUCACAAUGCCACCUUCACGUGAAAAAAAGCAAAUGGGAAAACAUGAAAAGAAAACCUAGCCUAUAAAAUAGACUUUUUUCAUGCAUAGAAAGCAUACAUAUUUACGUGCAAACAAACACAAAGACAACACUUUGCUACAGCCAUUUCCCUGUAGCACAUAAAGCUAAACUAUCAAAAUUGUUGCCAACUCAAACUAUGAGCCAAUCACAACAAUCUCCACCUUGGCGAAUACACCAUGCAAAAAUCCUUGCACCCAUCACCAAAGCUCAUUGGCCUUACGUACCAGCAUACACACCCUGAAUCAACCUCGUUGGUCCUGUUCCGAUUCAGUCACUGCCAAUGCAUGUGCAGCUGCUGCAAGCUAAAAACACCAUUUAGCUUCAGACAGGAUCUCGACACAUCCUCGUCUCCUCCUGUAGGAUUUCCCCCUCUUUAUUGUCUGCAACUUGGAAACUCGUCAGUGCACCCGUUUCCAGCAACAACCCAUCGAGCCAGACAAAAUUCCCCACACUUCUCUUCCUUCAGGACCAUCUCAUCACCUGUGAAUCCCAUAGCUCCACCUGCUGCAAAUCCCUUGCAACACUCAAGACUAAACAUCACCAAGAGAAGUGUUGCUUCGAGUACCUAGAGGGCAUACUCGAAGUCUUCUGCCACAAAAUUGCUACUACUCGGACCAAGAUCAUCCUUUCUUUUUCUCAAAGGACAAUUUUUCUUUUUAUGCCCGAAUUCUUUGCAGUAGUAGCAUUGUAGACCCUUGCCUCCGGAACCGAAUUUGAACCUGUUGUCUCUCUCAGAUCCUCCUCCCAAUUUUCUUCCACGAUUCCAACCUUGAACAGCUAAAGCAGUCUCGUGCCCACCAUCAACAAUGGUCUUCUUCUUUUGUGUAUCAUAAGACACUAAAGAAGCCUGCACCUGCUCCAAACUUACUGUAUCUUUUCCAUGCAGUAAGGUUGUCACAAGAUUUUCAUACGAAUCUGGAAGUGAGGUAAGAAGUAAGAGGGCUUUAUCUUCUUCCUCAACCUUAACAUCAACUUUCCGCAAUUGAUCCAAGUAUCCGUUGAACACAUUCAUAUGGUCCAUGAGAUUCCCGCCUUCAUCCAUCUUUAGCUUGUACAGCUUCCGCUUCAGAUGUAACUUGUUGGUCAAACUCUUAGCAAUAUAGAGUUUUUCCAACUUCUCCCAGAGUGCAGGCGCAAAAUCUUCAUCCAUAACAUUAUUGAUAAUGUUGUCAGCUAUACAGUGUCGAAUUGUGCUAACACAACGCGACUCUAGCUCUUCCCAUUGGUCAUCUGUCAUUUCUUUAGGCUUCCCAUCUUUUCCCUUCAAAACUCUAGCCAAGCCUUGUUGAGUCAAGACAUCCUUUACUCUCAUCUGCCAAAGAGUAAAACUGCCUUUCCCAUUAAACUUCUCAACUGAAAAUGACAUGUUUGUAGUCAUCAUGGUGAAUAACAAAUCUGGACCUUCAAUGAACCAAAGCUUCCAACAAAGCUCUGAUACCAAUUGUUGUGCUUUGGCCUGUUAUCUCACCAACUUAUAAACCCACAGUUGAACAAUUUAAAGUACAAGAAAUAAAGGCACCAAGAGAAUUACGAGGUUCGGCAAAAACCUACCUACGUCCUCGGAGAGAUAUUGCUCUUCACUAUGAGAAUAACUAGUACAAAAUAUACAUGAGUUAAAUUGACAUAACCCAAACCCCAAUCUCUUGUACACUCACAGAAUUUUUCCAAGAGCCUCACUCUCCCCUAGAGUUUCUCACUCUCACUCUAUUUUCUUUUCCCUCUGUGUUUUCCGGAUGCACCCCUGUCUUUCUUCACACUCGGCAAGCAUUUAUAUACAAUGCAAGCAAUUCCUUGCAUUUAAAUAAAGGCCAUCAUUUCCAUCCCCCAGCUUUUACGGAAAGCUUUAUCAUUCCACAUGCUUUGCAUGAAACUAUGCAUCCCCUCCCUUUGCCUUUAAUCGAAUCACAAUGCCACCUUCACGUGAAAAAAAGCAAAUGGGAAAACAUGAAAAGAAAACCUAGCCUAUAAAGUAGACUUUUUUCAUGCAUAGAAAGCAUACAUAUUUACAUGCAAACAAACACAAAGACAACACUUUGCUACAACCAUUUCCCUGUAGCACAUAAAGCUAAACUAUCAAAAUUGUUGCCAACUCAAACUAUGAGCCAAUCACAACAUCCCGUUCUCAUUUUCUUGCUCUACAUGUUUGCCACUAAUCGAAGUCGCUUAAAAGGCACGAUUGGCGGGUCAUGAUUCAUGAAUCUUCCAAAACCUGUCUAAAUUUUGAUUGCAUGAGAUCAUGGUUCCAACUUCCGAACAUCAAAUCCUCAUUUGUGGACCCAAAAAAAACCACCUCAUCCGCGAGCGACUAAAUUAUGCAAUAACUCGACUAAAAUAUCCCAACUGCUUUGCAUGUAAGAAGGCAGACGAGCAACCAACUAGGCUUUCUAGUUCUGAAAGUCACAAUCUAAAUGCAGCUUCACUUUUUGCACAGCCAGAUACACAUUAGGCAAAUCAUUUGCUUAUGAUGAAGAUGCAAGCGGGGAGCCUUUUCCUGAGAUACUUCCACUUUCCAUGUUGAUAUCAAAAGAGAGGUUUUUUCUCUGGGAAGCUCCUUGUUUGAAUGAGAUUCAAUGUUAGACCAAUAUAAAGGUGUCCAGUUCCUAUGAGGUUGCCACCCAUAUUUGUGGUCUCCAACUAUCCGUGUUCGCAAAACCUCCGCGCAGUGUACACGCAGCUGUAGUUCCAUGAACACGGUUAGAGGAGUUGUGAACAGUGAAAAGCGGCUUGUUUAACUAAGGGAUAGAACUGUAAACAGAUAUCAUCACCACUGCUUAGUUUUGAUCGAUACCUGAUGCUUUCGGCCAGUAAAAGGGUAGCUCUAGCCAUGUGAAACCUGCAAUAGUGUGAUAUCAGAAUACCACCAUCUCUGUCAAGCCUAUCUACCUAAGAAACACAAACUUCUUAUCCAAGAAAAGGGAAGGAAAGAGAAACAAUAACACACAGAGCCUAUUCAUGGAACAUAGAUAAUCCAUAAAUCGAAUCCAGAUUGUUGGGGACAUUGAAGAGACCAUGAAACUACACAUUUCAACAAUGAUUGAAAUUUAAAAUACAAGCUUAAUUUUAACAUUUACAUUUUUGUUAAAAUACCCGGAAUUAGGUUAGUUGCAUGAAUCGAUAAAUAUCUAAAAUCAGAAUAUUACAUAGAAUACAACACAUAUGUAUCAAGAAAAAGAUUCAUAAUACCAUAUAGUUUUCUUCUUAAAUUGCAUAUUCCUCUCCGUUGCAAUACUUGCAUUCGCUCAAAUGCAAAAAAUUUCCUGUUUUCAUACUUUCUAGGUCUCAGAGUGACACAACUUUUUAGUUUUUACCAGCCCAAUGAAGCUGAUGUUCCUAGUGCUUAACCCGGGCUUACGAAGUAUAGCUCACAACUAGGCACUAGCUUCCUUUUUCAACAUAAAAUGUGUGAACAAGCUGCUAGACUGGUAGUCAAUGAGUUGGAUAGAUUUUUACUAUUGGAUCCAUUGCAAAUUUUAGAAGUCUUAACAAAUAUAAUGCUUAUCAUAAAGCUACUGAUAAUGAAUUGAAAACAAGAUUUCCUACUUAUCAGCCGAGGUGGUUCUGAGAAGUCAUAACUUAAACAAGCGGCAACCAGCUCAUCUAAACUCCGUUUGAUUCCAUUGCCACCCUGUGCAAACAUCAUUUUAAUAUCAGAAUGACAUUUAAACUACCAACAAACCUAAAUACAACAGUAACCUUGAUUGAAGCAUCAAUAGCUCACCUGAACAGGCAUUCCAGGGGGGUUUAUUGAUGACGCUAAUGGUUGGACUUGGAUCCUAAUAUCAGAAUAACGUGCAUGUUAGGUCAUAUAUGAGGUAAUUGGAAAUUGGGCUAAAGUUGAGGGACUAUUACUCUAAUUUUGACAUUAUAUAUUGUAAAGAAUAUAGCUGGCUGAAAAUCACACAACAUAAAAUCAAAGUUAAGAACCUCAUACAACUCCAGGCUCCGGAUAAAGUUGGAUCUCUUCACUACAAUACCGCUCUUGUUUAUCAUUUGGGGACUCCCGUUAAUCAUCAGGGAACUCUUGCACACUAAAAGGAAGACGUAUUCGUUCUCCUAAGUUCAUCAAAUCUUUAGCUGCCACCUUCCCAUAAAUUAAAAUCGGAUAGAAAACUUUCCCAUAUUAAAUCACACAAAACAAAGCUCUAUCAUUUUAAUUUCCCAAACGAAAACUUACAAAAAAACCCGAAGAAAGUAUGAAAUGUAAGAGAAAUAUCAGUUACCACGGCCGUCUAUGAUAAUUGGGGUCCUCUGCGAAAAUUUUAAUGGGACCCUCACUAAUAAUCUUAUAGAAAAUAUUAACUAAUUUUUGUUUGAGAUAUUGUACCAUGGAUAAACACACAUCCUUUUUAAACUUAGACACGUAUGUUUUUUUUUUGAACAAACGUAUUAUGUAACAUCCCACAAGGCUUUUUGGGAGCUCACUGGUUUCGGGUUUUAUCGAAACUCCGAAGUUAAGCGAGUUCGCACGAGAGCAAUCCCAUGAUGGGUGACUCAUUGGGAAGUUCUCGUGUGAGUUCCCAGAAACAAAACCGUGAAGGCGUGAUCGGGGCUCAAAGCAGACAAUAUCGUGCUACGGUAGAGUUGAGCUCGGGAUGUGGUCGGGGCCCUAGUCAGGAUGUGAUAAUUUGGUAUCAGAGCCAAUCCCUGGCCGGAAGUGUGCUAACGAGGACGUCGAGCCUAUAAGGAGGGUGAAUUGUAACAUUUCACAUCGCCUAAGGGAGUGGAUCCUCUAUGUCUUAUAUGUAUAUUCCCAUCUCUACCUAGCAUGAGGCCUUUUAGGAGCUCACUGGCUUCGGGUUCAAUCGGAACUCCGAAGUUAAGCGAGUUCGCGUGAGAACAAUCCCAUGAUGGGUGACCCACUGGGAAGUUCUCGUGUGAGUUCCCAGAAACAAAACCGUGAGGGCAUGGUCAGGGCCCAAAGUAGACAAUAUCGUGCUACGAUGGAGUUGAGCUCAGGAUGUGGUGGGCCGGAAGUGACAUAUUAUCUACACUAAGGAAGAGAGGGUGGGCUUAGCCUUAGAAUGAGCUAACAAUAAUGUGGUUUUAAUUCGUAUUUAGUGAGAACAACGUAAGAUCUCUCAUUUACAAGUGAAGAUGAAUAUCACUAGACCGUAGUACGAAGUAGUUCUGCACCGACUAACAAAAACCUCAGACAUGUAUGUUUAAUCUUAUCCUUUGUUUUUGUUUAAUUUAUUCAAUUCAACGACAAAAAAUAAAGGAAAUAAGUCUAAGAAGAUAAAAAUAAUGUGAGAAAACUUGCCAAUAAGCAAAUCUAUGAUUAAAACUAACACAAACUUUAAAACUGAAACUCAUGUUCAAUUAAGAAACAACCAAGUCAAAUUCAUACUAGCAGUAAAAACAUAAAUCGAAUUGUUAGCGUCUCAAUCCAAGUAGUUGAGUAAUCUUAUUUAUUUGGGAAUUUUGUUGAGAGCAGUAUUAUGAGUUAUGGACAUAGAAAUAAUCCAAUAUUUUUUAUUAUUAUUAGACUAUUUUUUUAUUAAAGAUAUUAAACAUUAUAUAAUAUAUGUGGGAUGAAAAAACAUCUUAGACCUGUUCAAUUAAGGCCCUCUGCAAUGGCUUCCCCCUCAAAGCCGGCACCGUCAAUUACCGUUUUAAGUGGGGCGCUCAUGUGCUUCAACAGCUUGAUCAAAACACUUUUCUCUUUGAACGUGUAGUAGUAAUCGCGCAACAACUUUGUAAUCAACUUCAAUAACCCACUUCUCAUUUGCAAUCAAAUUUCAAAAAUUCAAAAAAUUUCAAUGUGGGUGUGAAUCUGGUGAGUAACCCCGUUUAAGCGUUGUGAGGGUGGUGGCUGCGGUGGUGGCAAAGACAGUAUUCGUGAUUGUACCUCUGCCGUUGUUUAAAUAAUUGCCAGAUAGCUCUUUAACCAACGCGGCACCCUUUUCGGUGGCAGUGAACGGAGGUAAAGUGAACUAUUUUUGGCCACGCGUUUCUUUGUCUUCGUUAAGUGUUUCAGAGGUGGCAUAAGAUCGGCAGUUGUGGAAGGUUAAGUACUGGUUUGGUACUGAGGUGUUUUUAUAAAAAGUGGGUAUAAAAAAAAGUUGAGCUCAAAAAGGUGUUUGGUGAAUACUUAAAAACAACUUAUUUUCAUAGUUUUGGGUGAAAAGAAGCUGAAGACGUGAAGCAGCAAAAAUAAGUUUAUUCUCACAACACAGCAGAAGUAGUUUUUUUUUUUAAUUUUUUUUAAAUUUAAAACAUAGCAAUACCAAACCAUCAUAAUCUCGCACUAUCGAACACAGUGGAUGAAGGUGGUGAACGGAGGAUGAGUCUGGUUGGACCCAAAUUGAACAUUGGACUUGCGUCGCAGCCCAAACAUGCGUAUGGAGUCUUAAUUUCGCGGCAAACCUACAAUAAUAAUCAGACUAGAGGGGGUUAUAGAGAGAUGUUUAGAAGAGAAAUCAUUUUUUAAGGAAAAAAACUCGUAAUUUCAAGGGGAUCAAGUGUGAAUUCACCCUUUGCUAGUAGUCACAUCAACCACUUGGCAAGAGAAGGGAUGCCUCCAGGAGUUACAAGCUUAAUUCAUUGAGAAGUCAACUCUACAAAAGCGGCGGUAGAACUAGAUAAAAGGGACACCCAAAUCAACUCUCAGAAAAGACUCCCAAAAGCUCUAUCACUUUCCUUACAUUUGUUUUGUAGACCAGUUGUCUUCCCUUUUUAGUUUUAGCUAUGUUGCAUUCCUUUUGUAGUAUCGAUUUUCAUACUUGUUGUUUUUAAGGAUUGUACAUUGUAAAUUGGAAAAGGUGUGCCCGACAGGCAACUAGCAGUGCUAGAUGAGGUUAAAUUAUGUCUAAACCUUUAAUAUUUACACUUUGUUGUAUUAAUUUGUGCCUUUAAAUACCUUGCACUUUCAUUACAAGUUAUUUAGUAUUUACUUACGAGUAUUUCAGCUUCCAAGUUAUUAUUUAACGUCCUUUUACGUUUGCUGUACUUUAGUUUUUCUUAAUAACUUUAACAAAUCGAUCAUUUCUUUUGUUCCUAAUACAUGUUAAAAUGGCAUAUAACACUAACCAAAAGUCCUUGAUCCCAAGGCAAAGAAAAGAACUUUUUAUGGACUUAACCCCUCCAUAAACAAUCCCUUGAUCGAAGAAGUCCGGGAAACUUGGGGUGCAAGUAAUUGAUUUAUCCAUGCCCAAAUGACUUUCAAUCUGCUGGUCUUAGCCAACAGUGGUACACUCAUCAUUUUUCUUAGCUUGUUAGAAAGCCUGAGAGCCUAACAAGGGCUCCAGAAAGACAUCUUUCAACUAAUCCAGGAAUUCACCGUGCUCUCAGGGGAGUUGUGUGAGGCACAUUCCAGGCCGAACAUAAUUUUGGCAUGCCCAGUGGGACUUAUUAUGUUACAUGCCAAGGCGCAAAAAAAAGGAACAAAGACUCUGAAGGGAGGUUUAGGGCAGCCAGAUCUCACUUACACUUGUGGGUUAGAAUGUCAGACCAGCUAGGAGAUCCUAACAUCCUAAAAAGUCCAAUGGUGGCUGAAGCUCUCAUUCAUUCAAGACAUCGGCUGUCAUUGUUACAAAUGAAGAGCUGAAUUCUACCAUGAUCCAGGUGUUGAGAAGCAUGGAUAAAACAAGAGGAGAUAUUAGAAGAUUAUGCUCUAUCACAUGAGAGUUGCAAAGGAAGUUAGAGGUGGACCUUUUUUAUCUCAUCCCACAAAAAACUGUGUGCUAGCUAAAAAGGGUCCAGAAGAUGACCCUAAGAAAGAAGGUAUUGCAUCAAUCUUCAUUCCGUUGUCCAAGGAGGAAAAGAAAAAGGGAAAAGCGAAGCAAAAUAGUGGUUUUCCUAAGCCUGAAGAAGGGGCUUACUAAGGUAGGCAUGUCUGUGAUAUUUCUAGCUACAAUCUCAUGAGGAAUUGUCAUCGGGUAAUUAGAGACGGAUGUGGCAUCUAGCUCCAAUGCAGGGAUGAGUGGAGAAUGCAUACCACCCAUAAUUAUUAAGCCAUUCCCUUAUAGGCCACCUUCAUUGUUAAUAAAGGAAGGGCAUGACUCUGCUGGAGACAGACUAAAGCAUCACCAGAAGUGCCCGUCCACUUUGAGAACAACCCAAAGCAAGGGGUAGCCCUACUUUUGCCAAAUAAUUUGGCAAACCAACAACUCAGGAACGAGAUAGUUGACUUGAUGAGGUUGAUAUUGCAGAAUGCUUAGCCCUAGGCACAACCAAUGUUUAAGGUAACAUACCAAAACCCUACCCUGCUUAUAUUGAUGAACACAAUCAUUUUCCCAUCAACUUCAAAAUGCCAUCUUUUCCCACCGUCAGUGGAGAAGUUAGUAGUGUGUCUUCCAGAGACCACAUCUUCAAAUUCUCAAACCACUGUGUGGCAUUCGAAGAUAAUCCAAACUACAAGCUGAGGUUAUUUGGGAAUUCUUUGGUCGGGCUAGUUUCUCAAUGCUAUUCUUUGCUAUCCCUACCUUCAUUGCUAAUUAAGGGCAAAUGGAAACUUCUUGCCAAGAACAAUUCUACAGGUAAAGCUCGAAGUGACAUAAAUAACUUGAUAAAGGUGAAGUAAUUUGAGCAUGAAUCCACUGAAGACUUUAUAAUGAGGUUUAGGAAAAUCAGUAUGAGGUAUCAGUUCCCUAUCAACCAUGCACAACUCAUAGUUAUUGCCCAAAAAGCUUUGUGGUUGCCCCUAAGGAAAAAGUUUUAUGAUGUACAAUUAAAUGAUCUAUAGGAAUUGGUGAUUGCAGCUACCAAAUAUGAAAUAUUGUUGGCCGAAGAGCAACAAAUGAAGCAUUCUUCGAAGCUACCAUUUUUUACAAAAAUAAAGUUCUAAUACACCAGUUGGAGUUUGAAGGGGUAGAGCUUAAAGGGAGGAAUGAAUGUGAGUGUUGCAGAGAUGAUACCUCUUUUCAAACCCUUGACUAUGAAAGGUUUAGUGAAACCCGUCAAUGACAAAAAGAUAGUGAUGAAGAUUGAGGGCUUGUACCAAUAAAGCCUCCAAAGUACAAGUCAUACUCUUUUGACCUCAGAAAGGCAGUAGAGAUCUAUGGAAAGUUGGUAAAGGCUAGACUAAUCUUGCCUGGCAACACUAAAAAUAUGCCUAAGCCUAAAAAGCUUAGAAGGAAGAAAUACUGCAAGAUCCACUACAUUACCAACUACUCUAUUACCAACUGCGUCUAGUUCAAGGACUGGAUCUCAGAUAUGAUUGUCAAGGGAAGACUGUUGUUGGAAAAACCACAGGCUACUAUGAUGAUUGAUACAUAUCCCUUCCUAAAGCACUAAUCAACAUGAUGAAUCUGAACUAAUCAAAAGAAGGGGAAGAUGAAAUUAACUCUGGAUAUAGGAAGUGAAAAGAAAAAGGAAGCAAGAAUGGAUGAGGGCAGCAUGAUGUUGCCCAAGAGGCUCUAAGCCGCAAUAAUAAAGAGAGUAGUGUUAUGCAGUCGAUGUCGGUGUGAAUGUGAGAUUAAAAUAUCAGCACUUGGAGCCAUGAUUGAUCAGGAGCUGGCAAAACAAUGAGAGAAAAAGAAAGAUGAGGUGAUGAACGAUGUCUACAAGGCACUCACCAAAGCUUUUGUUCCAGGUAGGCUUGAAAGGAUGACUAGCAGGAAUGUAAUUCAAAGGCUGGGAGGAGAUUUCAAGCCUAAAACUUGGCUGAAACAUAUGGUGAGGUGAGUUCAAAGGCAACACAUGGUAGAUUUAGGAUAGAUCUUGAUUAUAUUGUCUAAUCUCUAAGAUAUCCUAAAUUGACUUUAAUUAGGGUUUCAUUACUUGGGAGACAAGUAAUAUCUUUAAUAUGCCAAAGCCUAGCUUCUCGGACUAUGCUCCAUGGGCUUCGAGUAUUUCAGUCUUUCUUGCCACCAAUCAUGGGCCCAUAAUUAUAAUGAUUUUAUUUAUUUAUUUUGAACUCCCUUAAAAAUGCUAUUCAUGAGGGUUUUUAGGGUUUUAAAAAUCCAAAGGACAAUGUACUCAUCUCAAAGUGUAAAAGAUGCAAUCAUAAUAGUUUGUAAGUUUUUUCACAUUUUUUGUACUUGUAAAUUAAUUAUUAUAGUUUUUUUAAUGUGUUUGGUAUUUUUAAAUUACUUUGAUAUUUUUAUUUUUUAACGUGUUUUAUAAUGUUGCAACUUAGUACUACAGUUUAGUGGUAUUUCUCUUCAUUUGUAAGUGAGAGGUCUUAAGUUCGAUUCUCGUCGAGGUGAAUUUGAACUCUAUUAUUGCUAGUCCAUUGUGAGACUAAGCCCAACCCCUCUCCCCUUAGUGUAGAUAAUAUCAAUUGUUAAAAAAAAUGUGUUUUAUAAUGUUUUAAUCUCACUUUUAGAAGGAUAAAAUAUUUAUGAGUAUGAAUGUCUGAGAGAGUAAACAACUUUGUUAGGUUGUUGACUCUAAAAUUGAAAGUUUGUGUUGUUGCCUAUACUAAUACUAUACUACUUGAUUUGAAUUUUGGACAACAGGUCAAGUAAAAUCUAUUCCAGUCAUUAUAAUAAAAAUAAGGGUUAAUUACACAAAACUAUAAACUAUGGGGCACACUACAAUUUCAUACCUCAUGUUUUAAAUAUCGUAAUGUCAUACUUCAACUUACAAAUUCAUUGCAAUAUCAGACCUCCAUUAAUUCAUCCAUAAAAUUAGCCAUUAAAUGAGAAGGUGGCAAAUGCAGGGCCCAUAUUUUUCUCAUGUAAAAGACUAUGUAGAUAAAAUAAAUAAAUAAAAUAAAUCAAUUAAAAAUAAUUACAUAAGAAUGGGACCCACCCCAAUACCUCACCAUUCUGUAAACCAUUAAAGGUUAUUGAAGAAAAAGGUUAUAUAGAAGCAAGAAAGAAGAAAGAGAUAGAGAGAGAAGUAGAAGAUUGAGAGAUUAGAGAGAAGAAUCUGUUGAGAAUUGUAGUAUCUUUUCUUAUCAGAUACAAUGGUUUGUUACAAGCUAUGUAUAAUAGCAUUUUAUAACCAACUUAACUAACUUCAUAAUCUUAUGACCCUACAAUGGAUGUUAAGAGUAUUAAGAUCCAAUGGUUAUGAGAAUUGUAGUAUUAACUAACUCCAUAGGGUUUUGCAUAAACUAACAGCCCUGAUGCAUUGCAAAUGCAAUGUCAGGUCUAGUAAAUGUCAAGUACUGUAAAGCUCCAACUAAACUUCUAUAAAGGGCAGGAUUAUUUAAAAUUUCCCAUCAUUUUUUAGCAAUCUGUUGUAGGGCAAACAUGGAGUAGCACAUGGUUUAGACAGCAGCAUUUGAGACUUAGUUAACAAAUCUGUAACAUACUUGUCUUGAGAGAGAAACAAGCCAUCCUUCUUCUACAUAAUUUGAAUCCCCAGAAAAUAGGGUAGUGGUCCCAAGUCUUUGAUAUCAAACUCCCUGGUGAGUGAAUGAAUAACCUCAGUGAUUGCUUGGUUUGCACUGCCAGUGAUAAUAAUGUCAUCCACAUAUAAGAGUAAAAUUACCACAGUGUUGUCAACAACUUUCACAAACAAUGAUGAAUAUGCAUAUGUGGAUUUGAACCCUAAAAAUGGUAGAAAGGUGGUGAAUCUCUCAUUCCAGGCCCUUGGUGCUUGUUUCAAUCCAUAUAAAGACUUAUGUAAUUUGCAAACAUAAUCUUCGUGUUUGAUAUCAACAAAUCCAGGUGGUUGUGCUAUAUACAUCUCUUCUUGCCUUAUGCCAUGAAGGAAGGCAUUUUUCACAUCCAACUAUCUCAAUGUCCAACCAAAGUGUGCUGAUAAAGCUAAAACUAAUCUCACUGUUGUUGGUUUAACAACUGGACUAAAAUUUUCCCCAUAGUCAAUCCCUUCUUCUUGGUUAAAGCCUUUAGCUACCAGUCGUGCCUUAUACCUCCUAAUUGACCCAUCAGCAUUUUUUUUAUCUUAAAGACCCAUUUGCAACCAACUAAGUUCUUGUGUUUUUGUAGGGGAACCAAAGACCAUGUACCUUGAUUGUGUACUGCUGAAAUAUCAUCUUUCAUAGCCUCAUGCCAUACUGGAGUUUUUAAGGCAAAUAUGUAUGUUGCAGGUUCAACUUUAGUAAAGUCAACUCCUCCAUUUUCAUGAACAGCAACAAGGAGAGCAAUCUUCUUAACAAUGCCACUCUUUGACCUUGUCUAUAUAGGGUGAAGAUUAACUGAAGGAAUGGAGAGAACCACUUGCAAUUGUUCAGGUUGAAAUUCAGGUACCACAGGGAGUGUAGAAGACAAGGGUUGUGUUGUUGGUGUAGCAAUGGAUUGACUGCAAUUUGAAUCUUUUACAUCUGAGCUUGAAACUGUAACUGGAAUUGUAGUAGAGUCUUCUAAGAUUUGAUUAAUGACAUUAUUUGGUAACACACUAGGUGGAGGACCUGAACUUAAUUGUGUUGGACCAGGUGAAGAAUUCAUAGGGUAGUGAUGUUGUGAAUCUGGUAGAACAAGAACAUUGUUGUGAUCUGGAACUGAACUUGGUGUUUGUAUGAGUGAUGAUAGUGGUGAAGGGGAAGUAGACUGAUGUGUAGUAGUCAAAGAAUGAUAAGGAAACUAUGUCUCAUUAAAUAUCACAUAAACUUUGUUUCUAGACACAUUAUAACAGAUAAACCCUUUAUACUUGGAUGCAUACCCCAUAAAGACACAUUUGGUUGUUCCAGGGUCUAAUUUAGUGUUAUUGUAAGGCCUUAACCAAGGAUAACAAGAGCAGCCAAAAACUUUCAAAUGUUGGAUCUCAGGUUUAGAAUUAUGCAACAAUUGAAAUGGAGACAAAUUGUGCAAAGCAGGAGAUGGCAUUUUGUUAAUUAAGUACACUAAAGUUUAACAAGCAAAUGACCAAAACAGAGAUGGUAGAGAGGCCGUUUGUAACAAAGUGAUGGAUGUUUCAAUGAUAUGUCUCUAUUUUCAUUCUGCAAUGCCAUUUUGUUCGGGUGUGUGAGGACAAGACAUUUGAUGAUGUAUUCGUUUAUCAGAUAAGAACUUUUGAAAUGCCUUACUAAUAUACUCACCACCACUAUCACUUUCGAGAGUUUUAAUGGAUACUUGAAACUGGUUUACAAUAAAAUUGUAAAAGGAAACAAAUAUGGCAGAACCAUUACUUUUAUUGAAGAUAGGAAAAAUCUAGCAAUAUUUGGUACAAUGAUCAAUGAAAGUCACAUAGUAUUUAAAUACAAGGAGCAGGACCCCACACAUCACUAUGAACAAUAUCAAAAGGUUUGACAAACUUAACUACUGAAAGAGAAAAUGGCAAUUUGCUAAAUUUACCCUUUAAACAGGUUUGACACAGUGAAGUGUUCUAUGAGCAACACAGAAAACAUUGGAAGAUAUGAGAACUUGAAAGACUAUUGGAUUUGAGGGGUGACCUAGUCUCUUGUGCCAAAUACUGUUGGUAACUUAUUUUCACAAAAAAGCUGCAAGUUGUGUUUUGAAAUUGCUGCAUGAGAGUUUGGUGAGAUGAUGGUGUACAAUUCAUUGUUACACAACCCUUUAAAAAGUAUCCUUCCUGUGGCUUUGUCUUGAAUCCAAAAUGAAAAUGCAUCGAAGAUCAACCAACAAUGAUUAUCCAGACAAAUCUUAUGCACAAAUAACAGAUUUUGAGACAAUUUUGGCACAUAAGGGAUUGAAUUAAGUUUAAUAGAUUGCAUUAGAGUUAUGAGAAGAUUACUCUCACCAAUGUGAGAUAUUGCUAAACCUUCACCAUUAGUUGUCUAGAUUGUCUCAUUUGAUGCAUAUGGAGUUGCCAAUGAGAGAUUACUCAAAUCUAAAGUCAUGUGAUUAUUGGCACCAGAAUCAGUAAGCCAUACUGGUUGCUGUGAUGGUGUAGAUAAUAUUGUGAAUGGAGAAUAGGUACCAUUAGGUAUUGCAGCAUGCAUAGCACUGUUUUAAGAAGUAGAAUUCUUUUGAAAGCAUGUGUCUACAUUGUGAUAUAGGUUCCCACAUAUGAUACAUCCUGAGGGAGCACCUGUGUUUCGAUAUCUGCAAGUGUCAACAAGGUGGUUGUUCUUGUCACAAAUUUGGCAACCUUGUGAAGAAUUUGUAUUUAUGAAGCGACAUGUUGAGGCCAAAUGAUUGUUGUUGAUGCACAAAACUGGAGGUCUUGGAACAACGUAAAUCCGACUGUGAAUCUGAAAGAAAUGUAAAUAACACAAGAUGUAUUGUGGUUCACCCCAAUGUUUGGGCUACGUCCACACUGAUAUUGUAUUUCUCUGAGAUGUUGAAGAGGGAGAGAGAGAGAGAGCUUCUGCGGGUGAGAGAGUUCUUCUCAAUCUGAGAGGCUUGAGGGGGGGUAAGGAGGCUUGAAAAUUAUGAGGGUGAGGAGACCCUUUUAUAGACUAAGGGUUCCUCCCCUUUUUACAUAUUUGCCCCUUCCUUUAUUACAUAAUUACAUUUAAGUCCCCCGAGUAUUUAUACAAGAUCUAAAUACGGAGGCCCUAAGUAUGGUACAAACAGUAGUCCCCCAAGUCAUAAGUCAAGAGAGUCUUUUGGCUGGAGACUUGAAAUUCAAUCCAUGUGUGGGCUGAAGUAACUAGAUGUCGUCUAGGACCGAUACUCGAUAUGAGACGGUGCUCAAUCUGAAAUGAUGUUUAACUAGAAGUAGCACAUGUUGCGAGGCUGCUUGGCUUGUGGCUUAUGUUGCCUUGGUUGGCUCGGCUUGUGGUAUUGAAGGUGAAAGAGUCCAUUUUAUAGAAUAAGGGCGCUCCUCAAUACAUAAAUGAUAGGCUAGAGUUGAUGCUCACAUCGAGGCGAUUGCUCUGUAGGUGGUGAUGCUCUCUAAUGAAGGUGAAGGAGUCCCUUUUAUAAAAUAAGGGCUUGUUCAUCAGUACAUGAAUAAUGGGUUAUGAAUGAUGCUCGCGGUGAGGCGGUUGCUCAGCUGGCGGUGAUGCUCUCUAAUGAAGGUGAGGGAGUCCCUUUUAUAAAAUAAAGGCUCGCUCCUCUGUACAUGAAUAAUGGGUGCUCUCUAAUGAAAGUGAGGGAGUCCCUUUUAUAAAAUAAGGGCUCACUCAUCAGUACAUAAAUAAUGGGCUAAGUCCCCCAAGUAUUUUUCAUGAGGCCCAGUUGAGGCCCAAUAUAUGGUACAUAAUGUAGUCCUCCAAGUCUUCGGUCAAUAAAGUCUGUUAGCUGGAGACUUUAAAUUGAAUCCAUGUAUGGGCCAAAGUGGCGGUUGUUCGGAUGCGGCAUUUGUAUACCCUGCACUGAAGCUUUAUAGUUGAAGCUUUGCAAAUGAAGCUUUUGAAGCUGGAGCUUUGUAAAUGAAGCUUUUGAAGCUGGAGCUCUCUAAGCUGGGGCUCUGUAAAUGAAGCUUUUGAAGCUGAUUGACAUGAGUGAUGCCCAUGAAUGUUUAUGUUGAUUGACAUGAGUGAUGCUUAUGGAUGUUGACAUGAGUGAUGCUCAUGAAUGUUGACAUGAGUGAUGCUCAUGAAUGUUGACAUGAAUGAUGGUCAUGAAUGUUUAUUGAUGAUUGACAUGAGUGAUGCUCAUGAAUGUUUAUGUAUGAUUGACAUGAGUGAUGCUCAUGUAUAAUUUUGGAGUACUGGACGUACUUUUGAUCACCUGGUUGGUGAUAAUAGCGGCAGGCUGUUGAAUAAUUUUAGAGUACUGGGUGUACUUUUGAUCACCUGGUUGGUUGUAAUAGCGGCAGGCUGCUGAAUAAUUUUGGAGUACUGGGUUUACUUUUGAUCACCUGGUUGGUGGUAAUAGCGGCAAGCUGCCGAAUAAUUUUUUGUAGUACUGGACAUACUUUUGAUCACCUGGUUGGUGAUAAUAGAGGGCCUGGCUCGUUUGGGCAUAUAGGCCUUCGCCAUUCACAUAACAUUCCAGCCCAUUAUUUUGGGCUUGCCCUUUUUUAUUUUUAUUUUUAUUUUUUUAUUACCCUCUGAUGGGGUUUAUACAGAUGUAUUUGAAAGUUAAGAAAAAUAAAUCACAUCAGUCAAAAAUAAAUUCGACCCUCUGCUCAAUGAGUCACGCCCAUAAUUCCUUUUUCUGCAUGCCAUCACCACUGCAAUUAUGUCUGCUUCUUUUAUUUUCUUUUGCUUUUUGCUUUUACUUUCUCUUUUCCCUUUUACAGAUGGCAGACAAAGAAUGAUAAUAGAAUUAAUAAUAAGAAAUGAAUCUUAUCUCUGCUUUUGCUUUUCCCGUGGUAUUCGCAGGAGAUGGGAUCUGGGUCGGCGACUUUCCCGACCGUGAGGACCUUCGUAUCAUCAAGUAUCUUUGCUUUCUUAUUUUCUCACUCAUCUUCUUUCUUUCUCUUUCAUCGUCUUUUGAGCUCCCAACAUCACUCACUUCUUUGAGCUCCCAGCCUUCAGCACCUUAGAUCUGAAAAAUGUGUCGCUCAUAGAACGAGAUGGGUGUUAAAAUUCAAGCGUGAGCUUGUCUUUUUCCCCAGAGAGGAGGUGAAGAACAUAUGGGGUGGCUCGGAUCGCAACGACCCAAGCCCCGAACAUGGCAACAUGGCUUCGCAGCUGCUUCAGAGCCUCAGCUUUGUCUGGCUUCUACAUAAACAUCGGAAACAUUUUUCUUUAUCCGAUUCGUCUUUUCUUUCCUGCAAAGUGAUGUGACAAACGCAGCCUGACGUUUAAAACCCUAAAACCCUAGUUGGUGCUCUGCGAGAUCGGUCAUUUCUGAAAGUAGUGUCGGGGAUUGGAAAACUGGCAGUGGCGAUCGAUCCUCGGCCGUACAAGUAGAUAUGCGAAGAGUAGGGGAGGAUGCGCCUGGUCCCAGGGUUCCUGAGAGCGACCAUAGCCAUUGGAAUGAAGGAAGAAAUAGAAAGACAGAAACCACAGCCAUCGUUUUUACAGUGGCUGGACCCUUACCCAUUUUUACCUGAUCCAAGCUUUUGAUUUCUGCUGCUGUUCCUGCUCAGUCGAAGGAGCCACCUUCUUGGACGUAGCGGGCGUUCCAGUAAAGAGUGUCACCAUAGUUGUAGGUGUUGCAGCUCGACUCGUCCCUCAACAUCUCCUUUUGCUGCUGCUGCUGCUCUAAUGACUUAGUGGAUUUGACUAGACUACAGUUGGUGAACAGUCGAUGAAAGAAAAUGAAAGUAUGAGACAGAGAGAGAAAGAGGUUAUUGGAUUUCUAAGUUUUUGUGAUUUUGCAAAUUCAUGGUGGAGGUGAAAAAAUGAAAGAGAACCGACAUAGCUUUUCGUGUCAGUUCCCACAGACGGCGCCAAAUGUUGAUGCACAAAACCGGAGGUCUUGGAACAACGUAAAUCCGACCGUGAAUCUGCAAGUAAUGUAAAUAACACAAGAUGUAUCGUGGUUCACCCCAAUGUUCGGGUUACGUCCACACUGAUAUUAUAUUUAUCUAAGAUGUUGAAGAGGGAGAGAGAGAGCUUCUGAGGGUGAGAGAGCUCUUCUCAAUCUGAGAGGCUUGAGGGGGUGAAGAGGCUUGAGAAUUGUGAGGGUGGGGAGGCCCUUUUAUAGACUAAGGGCUCCUCCCCUUUUUACAUAUUUGCCCCUUCCUUUAUUACAUAAUUACAUUUAAGUCCCCCAAGUAUUUAUACGAGAUCUAAAUACGGACGCCCUAAGUAUGGUACAAACAAUUGUAUUUCCCACAAAUUUGACAAGUUUGAGACUAAAAUCCAUAGUUGUUUGAUCUAGGUGGUGAAGUACCAAGAAUUCCAGGAGCAGGACUUGAAUGACAGUUUUUGUGAUUACAAUACUUGGGAUUGAAAUUAGAAAUGGAUUGAUUCUUGCCUUUGGUAUUAUUAUUGAAUGACUUGUAUGCAUUUGAAUUGGGACUAGCAUGGUUGCCACCAAAAAUAGGAAAAGCCUGAUUCUUGGAAGGUAAGCUAUUGCUUUGUGCCAUCAAUGCAGACGACACAGGUGAAUUAGAGCCAUUUUCAAGCAAAAUUUCUUCAGCAAGUAAUUGAGAUCGAAGAUCUUUCGAUGAUAUCACAGUCCCACAACCCCUAAUCACAGAUCUUAUGGUAUUGAAUUCAGUAGGCAAACCAUUUAGUGCAACAAUCACAAUGUCAUCAUCAUCAAAGAAUACACCAGCAGCAAAUAAUAAAUCUCUUGCUUUAAUUGUCUGCAAAUAUAAUGUGAUAGAACCAUCACCAUUCUUUAUUGUCUAAAGCUCGAAUUUGAGUUGAAAGAUGCUUGUUCUUGUGACUGUGGAAAAUUGUUCUUUAAGGCGAUUUCGCAGUUCUUUGGAGCUAGUGUUUCCAUUUACACAAGAAACUGCAGUAGGAGACAAAGUUGCAGUAAUCAAUUGCAUUAAUGCCUUAUCAUGCAUCUUCCCAAUCUUGUAGUCAUUAGAUGGAACCCUUGUAGAGGAAUCGCCAAACAAAAUUGCCAAAUUAUCAGAGGAAUCUUGACUAAAUCAAGUAGGGUAAGGCAUUGAACCAUCAACAAAACCAAUUAUGAUAUGGCCUUCAAGAAGUAGUUGCAUCUGGAAAUGCCAAGCCAAAUAGUUCAUCUCAUCCAAUUAUGCUAUUGAACUUGAGACAGAUGAAAUCAAAGAAGUAAUCAGAAACUGUAAGAUCUGUAACUGAGCAACUGUGACCAUUGUUGCAGAUUGUAGAGAAAUCACAAAGAAUCUUGAGUGAAACUAAAUCACAAACAGUUGGUAGGCACCCUGUGGAGAUUGAAGAACCGAAACAAGGAUUGAAGAUAAAGCACACCAAUAUACCAAAAAACUAUCACCACUAUACCAAAAAAUGAUCACAAUAGCAGAAGCAAUUGAAACCAAGAUCAACAAACAGUCAAGCUUCCAUACUUGUUUUGCGAUGAUACCAUGUAAACCAUUAUAGGCUAUUGAAGAAGAAGGUUAUAUAGAAGCAAGAAAGAAGAAAAGAUAAAGAUAGAAGUAGAAGAUUGAGAGAUUGGAGAGAAGAAUCUGUUGAGAAUUAUAGUAUCUUUUCUUAUCAGUUACAAUGGUUUGUUACAAGUUAUAUAUGAAAGCAUUUGGUAGAAUACACUCUAAGUAACAAUAUAACCAACUUAACUAACUUCAUAAUCUUUUGACACUUGUCCAUUUCAUAACCAUUGGAUCUUAAUACUCCUAACACAUUCUUCCCUUUCUGUAUUCUCUCCCUUCCUCUCUUUUAAGCUGCUACAACAGCCAAGGCAUAACCCUUCAGCAAAGCCAACACGGGUGGUUAAACCCAUAACAAAUAUCCUAGAAUCCUCUCUUUAUAUCCAAUCCAAAUCUCUAACUUAUUUCAUCAAAUUCGAAGUUGACAGGUUUGAACUUCAAAUUUAUGUUGUAAAAGUUCGUGGAUUUUCCGGUGGAUUUGCUCUGGUUAAAGGUGGCCAAUUCUCUGUUUUUAUGGGGUUUGUGGGAUUUGACAACUAUCCAAAUGGGAAAAUAGGGUUGGUAUCAGAACCUAGUUAAGAUUUUGUUAGAAAUCUGGAUCAGGUAUGUGUUGUGUUUGAAGGAUUAGAUCAGGUUUGGGUUAGGAUGGUGGGGCUAUAGGUGGGGUAGCGGCAGAGAAGGAUUUGGGAAGGGAUGGUGCUGGGGUUUUUGGGGAAGAACAGAGCAUGCUGCUACUGUUGCAACUUGAAAGGGAAGAAGGGGAAGAAGGGUGAGGUGUUGGGGUGGGCCCCACUUCUCUUUAAAAUACAUUUUUAAUUGAUUUAUUGGGAAGUGUUAUUGGCACUCCAAAAAUCUUAUUCUACACUCCUCACAAGUGUAUUUUUCUUUCCUAAUAUAGAAAGUUUGGAGUGUAGAAUGAGAUUUUUGGAGUGCUAAUAGCAAUUCCCGAUUUAUUUUAUAGUUUUAUUUUUGGGAAUUGUUAUUAGCACUCCAAAAAUAUCAUUCUACACUCUUCACAGGUGUAUUUUUCUUUCUAAUUAUAGAAAGUUUGGAGUGUCAAAUGAGAUUUUUGAAGUGUUAAAAACAAUUCCUUUAUUUUUUUUAUCUACAUGGUCUUCGACGUCAUAGAAUAUGAGCAUUUAACGGUGAAUUUAACAAAUUAAUUAAUGGAAGUCUGACAUUGCAAUGAAUUUAUAAAUUAAGGUAUGAGAUUAUGGUUCAACCCAUAGUUAAGGUACUUUUUUGUAAUUUACUCUAAAAAUAAAUAAAUAAAUAAAACUCAAUAUGUUUUUAACUUAUAAGACAUAUUUAAUUUACAAUAUAUACACUAUGACUAUUGUAUUUUAUAGUAGGUGAUUUUAAUAUAUUAACUUUGUAAUCAUCAAAAUAUUUUUUUUUCUUAACGGGUCGAAACGGGUUACCCACGAGUUAAUUGCGUAUAAACCCGUUAAGGACCCUUUCUUAACGGAUUCUUAACGUAUGACCUGAUAACGAUCCGAUUAGUUAUUAUGUUGACUUGAAAUCCAUUAUUUGCGUGUUGUGUUAUUAGGUUGUGUAAGAGAUUGCCAGUUAUUCUGUAACAAAGGAUAAACUAUUUUGGAAAUAAAGGAUUACAUAAAUAAUUAGUCUUAUGUGAUAUCCACAAUAAUGAUCAAAUGAAUGAUACAAAAACAUUACGAUAGAAUUAGAUUUUGUUUGCAGUAACCAAACAUAAAACCAAUAUCUAAUUACAUCAAAUUUGAGACAUGUAAUUGUGAUGCCUACAAUUUUAUGAAUGACAAAUAAAAUUACUGUUGAAAUCAAUGAUACACAAGAGAUAAAUAAUCCAUUAAAAUGGGGAUUCAUAAUUAUUUUAUUUUCACAACCCCUUAAUUUUCUCUUCAAAUUCCUCCUUUCCAUUUCAAUCAGUCUUGCUUCAUAUUGCAAAUCACACAGUUGCUUGCAAUAAGCCAUCAGCAAGCAAUAGAUCAUGUGUUAUUAUAAAUUUUAAAAAAACAUGUACUGUGGAGCAAAAAAUAAUCGAGACAAUUAUUACUCAAUCAAGGUCAAGGUAUUUAUUCAAAACAUAUUUUAUCCAUCCUCAUCAAAUCCUCUCCACAAGGUAACUCCUAAAUUAUUUCUUUCAAAUUAUAUUAAUUAGCUAAUUAAUGGAUUUAUUACUCAAUUAAUUUAUUAAUUAGCUAAUUGAUUGUAAUUAACAUCAAAGAUGCCUCAUAUGGCCGGUUCCCAUUCUCCUAAUAGCGCCGGCCAUACCCCUAUAAAUACCCCUUCAUUUUCUCCAAAAACCUAAGUUGAAUCCUCUUGCAAAUUUCUCUAAAGUAUCCUAACACUUUUCCCCCAAAAUUCUAACUUUGUUAUUGGAGGUUCUUCGGCCAAAGUCCCCCCCAUUCAUCGUGGGUGUGUGAGGCUCUUGGCCUUGACCUAAGGUGUUAAUUGUUUUUGCAAGUGCAUUUUUGUCCAAGAACAAGAAGGAAGAAAUUUGAAUCCACAAAUUGGUGCUUUCAUUGAGAGUCUUGAUCAAAUGCUCAUAAAAGACUCUCGCAUUCAAGGUUUUUUAGUUUUCUUGUUCAUUUGUAGAUUUUUCAUCCGUUCUUAUUCUUUGAAUUUUUAUUUCUAAAAAUUCUUCGAUAAAACGUAAAAGAAAAGUACAAUGGCAAGAGAUUCGGAAACCUCGACGAACGAAAAUUCCAACAUUCAAGAAUUAGGACCGUGACAAUCUACAAGGCUCAACACAACGAUGAGUGGAGCGGCACCCCCACAGGCCACCACUGUGGCCAUCUUCGGCAAAACCCAUGGCUCCAAGGCCACGACCCAAGCUGUGCCACUUCAACCUUCAAGGGCCCAAGCCCUAGUCAAGCCGGCCUGAGCCGCCCAAACCCAAUGCGUUGCUAAGCCAAGCCUUAACCUCGCACCGACGUGUGCCACACACCAAGCAACCAAUUCCCGUGGCCCAGCUUGCUCCCGUGGCUUUCUAAGUAGCACAAAUCAGUCCAAGAUUAGUUCAACCGUCCCAGCUUCAAAUUUCUAAGCCUACGAUUGAACUGUGGGCAUUUUCACCACACUUCUCUGCGGACUUGACACUCCCCAAUUUGAAUCUCGAACCCAAAGUCUACCACACUUCCACUGCUCAAGAAGAUGCAUUUCUUUCAAGCUCUUCCAAUCCAAAUGGUGAAUAACACUUGUCUUGACAAGUCAUAGAGUUGAUGACCACCCUCGCACAACAGAUGACCUUGAUGAAUCAACUCUUGCAGUGCACCGAGAUGCAAUGUGCCCCAGACAAGGGCAGACGAAAAACCUUUCCAGCAGCGUCCCGGAAAGCAGCCACUCGACCAGCCACGAAUUGUGCGUUCGGGUAGUGUACACUCCCACGGACGAGCAUACAUUCACAGGUGGGGCCACACUUCGAUAGUCAACACGAGCAACCUUUCAGGCAAAGUGUUCAUUCUCGACUAGACCCGCAAGGAGCAUCAUCCACUUCAUAUAGGAGUAGGCAGCACGAAUGACAAAGAGAAGCAGUCACUCGGUCCGGUUCAAACUCAACCAACAGCUUGCAAAGAAUUCCCUUACUUGCUAGGAGCGAACCACAUGCACCGCAGCCACAGCAUAGACAAGCUGAGCAAGUAGAAAAGCAGCUUAAACCAGCAUGUUAAGAUUGGGGGCAGCCGAGAGCUCCACUACCCUAACAAAGGUAGAUAUAAGAAGAGGUAGAAAGGUUCUUAAAUGAGCACGAUUUCCAACGCAACGAAGUCAUUGAUGAAGUACUACGAUAGGACAUGAUCAACAUGAGCAGGUUACCCUUCACAGACGAGAUUGAGCAAGCAGAGCCCCUACGCAAGUUUAGCAUGCCACAUUUCACAUAUUUCAAAAGAGAUGGAUAAGCAUUACUGAAGCACAAUGGUCCUUUAUUGGAACAACGAUGCCAUUAAGUGCAAGAUAUUCACCACUAUUUUGCAAGACGAGGAGCAAGAUUGGUUUCACACCAUGCCACCAUAAUCCAUCCAAAGUUUUGAUGAUCUUUCCUUGGCUUUUACCAAAGAAUUACUUAUCUAACUACCCGAUUAAGAAAAAGUCCGACCACUUGUUCAACGUGAAAAAGAACCCAAAAAAGUUGCUUUGUGACUACGUGAAGAGGUUCAAAGCAGAAAAGGCCAAGAUAGUUGGAUGCGAAGACUUGAUAGCAAGUGCAGCCUUCCAAAAAGGACUUCUAGCAGACCACUCACUGUUCAGGGAAUUGACCAUGAAAGAAGAACUAACUCUGGCAGACUCUUUUGCUCUAGUAGAGAAGCAUGCACUUUGGGACGAGGCUCGACAAGAAAACAAGGCUCACGAGAAGCCUCUAAAAAGUCGGUAGUGGUUCAAAAGAAGGAAGACGGGAAUUAGUACAAUAAAAGCAUGCAGGAAGCUAAGCGUAAGGACUGACCCACUACCAAAGAAGGCUCGAUAACCAAUAAUUACUCUAAGUUCUCAAUCACGAUCCACCAAAUCAUUUGCGACAUUAAGAACGAACCAUGGUUCAAGCUACCGAAAUAAUCAAAGGAAGAUACUUCCAAGUUGGAUCACACCAUGUAUUGCACAUUCCACCGAGAACCCGAUCACACAACUGAUGACCGCUACACUUGGAAGAACUACCUGGAAAAGCUGGUGAAAGAAGGCAAGGUCGGCAGAUACUUAGAUAAGCCAGCUGCACAGCUUAGAAGGAAUGUAGAUGACAACGAAGAGUCGCCAACCAAGACGAUUCGGAUCAAUGGCAUCUUUGCCAAGUACAAGCACUUGGGGACCACCAACAACUCAAAAAAAAGAAGAUGCAGCAGGCUUUACUAGUUUCACAAGUCUAAGCAGUUGACACCCAACUUGGAUCCAUCAUUGGCUUUACUGAGCAGGAUGCAGAUGACGUCGACUUCCCACACGACGAUGCAAUAGUAGUAUCUUUCCAACUAUCCCAUGCUAUAGUCGACAUAAUGAUGGCUAACAAUGGAAGUGCGAUCAAUCUACUUCAACUCUUAGUAAUUCAAAAGAUGGGUCUGGAAAGCACAAUCAUAUGCCAAGCGGAGGUCUUCACUGGAUUCAACGGAUACACCUCGACUACCAUCGGCCACAUCACAUUUGACAUGAAAACACCGCCAGUUUUCUCAAAGCAGACAUUCACGAUUGUAAGCAACCCAUCUCCCUAUAAUAAGAUUGUUGAGAGACCUUGGUUGAUCAAUCUGGAUGCCGUCACUUCCGUCAAGUAUCAAAAAAUCUGAUUCCGCAUCCCGGGAGGAAGAGUAGGAGAAAUCAAGUCUGACCAAGCCGCAUUUCUAUGAUGCACUGUGCAAGUAUUUAAAGAAUAAAAGAGGAAGACCUUUACCCCCAUAAAGGCUACCGAGGUUUGAAAGGACGAAGAAGCUACCCAAUAGCAAUUAUAGCAGGUGGAUUAAGAAGAUGGUGCCCAAGAAAACGAGAUAAGAUGGAAACCCAAAGAGAACACUGAGGACAUUAUUCUUGAUCCCCAAUAGCCAGACAAGACAGCUAGAAUUGGCUUACAUCUAAGCCCAACCGAAAUGGAAAAACUCACGACUUUCUUUAGAAAAAUCAUGACGUCUUUGCAUGGUCACCUUCCGACAUGCUCGACAUCGAUCCCAAGAAAGCUUGCCACAAGCUCUACAUCAACCAUGCUGCUAAACUGGUGAUCCAAAGAAGAAGGCAUUUUGCACCUGAAUGAGUGACGAUCAUCGAAGUGGAAAUUAACAAGCUAUUGGAGGCCGAAUUUAUAGAAUAGGUAGUGCACUCAGCAUGGCUUGCCAAAGUCCUGCUAGUAAAGAAGAAAGAGACAAAUGAAGGGUAUGCGUAGACUACAUUGACCUCAACAAAGCAUGCCUAAAGGAUUCUUAUCCACUUCCCCAAAUCGAUCUAUUAGUAAAUUCAACUUCUGGGAACCAGCUACUUAGUUUCUUGGACGCCAAUUCUGGCUAUAACCAAAUAGCCAUGUACGAGCCUGACAAAGAGAAAACCACGUUCAUGAUUGAGCAAGGCACCUACUGCUUCAAGGUCAUGCCCUUUAGCCUCAAGAACGCGGGAGCUACUUACUAAAGGUUAGUAAACAUGAUGUUCAAGAAGAAAAUUGGAGAAACUAUGGAGGUUUACGUCGACAAAGUCAUGGUGAAUGGAAAGUAGCGGUCAAACCACAUCGGUAACGUAGUGGAAACUUUCAACAUCUUUAUAAAGUACAAGAUGAAGUUUAAUCCCUCCAAAUGCACAUUUAGAGUAUCUUCAAGAAGAUUCUUAGGGUACCUAGUAACCCAACGAGGAAUUGAGGCACAUCUUAUACAAAUCCGAGCAAUCCUAGAGAUGAAAUAUCCAAUUACCUUGAAAGAGAUCCAAAGCUUAACCGGACGAGCAGCCGCCUUCAACCACUUUCUUUCGCAAUCCAUUGAUCGAUGCAAACCUUUUUUCAAGGCCAUCAAGAGGGCACAACGACACAAAUGGGAUGAAAAGUGCGAAAGAGCUUUCUAAGACCUGAAGAAGUAUCUCACAUCACUUCCCUUACUAUCCAAGCAGGAAGCAGUGGAUGACUUAUACAUCUACUUGGUAGUCUCAGAAGUAGCAGUGAGCUCUGCCCUCAUACGAGAAAAGCUGAAGACCCAACUGCCAGUAUCCUACAUUUCUAAAGCUCUUCUCGAUGCGGAAACUAGAUACCCGAAGAUUAAAAAGUUAAUUUUGGUGCUAGUUGUUGCGGUUAGGAAGCUCAGACCAUACUUUCAAGCUCAUAUAAUCAUCGUCAUGAUUCAAUAUCAUCUACGAUCAAUCCUACAUGGUCCUUGGAACUUGGCCAAUAUAGUUUAGUUUUUCGACCCCGCACGGCGAUAAAGGCCCAAGCCUUGGAGGACUUCAUAGCGGAUUUCAUGCCUAGCCUAGGUGACGUAACAGAGCGGCCCAACGAUGCCCCAGAAGUAGCCAAGCACACCUUAACCGUGCCUGCUCCCCCCAACGGAGACUUUUGGCAUUUGCAUGUCGACAACUCAUCAAACUACAAAGGCUUGGGAGUAGGUGUGGUCUUUAUCACCUUAGACGGUUCAAUGCUCGAGCAGGCAAUCAUUCUAGGCUUCAAAGUGCUAACAACGGAGCAGAGUAAGAGGCCUUACUAGUAGGCAUCCGAAUGGUAAAAAACUUGGCAGUGAAAAAACUCGCAAUUCAUUCCGAUUCCUAACUAAUCACCAGCAAGACUACAUGGGAGUACAUGGCAAAACAUCCAAGGAUGGCGUAAUACCUAAAAAAGGUACGCAAGUAGCUUGAGGCAUUUCACACUUACACUCUCACUCAAGUUUCACGAGCAGACAACGCCAAUGUAGAUGCGCUAGCCGGCCUAAGCUCCGCCUUCGACCACUAACUCAAACACUUUAUCCCGAUGAAGUAUCUAGACAAGCCAAGCAUAGAAGUGGAGCCGGCAACCGAAGUGUCACAGGUUAGUAUAACUCCCAACUAGUAAGUUCUAUUAUAAACAACCUGGUCAAUGGCACACUCCCCACGGAAAGGUUGAAUUCUAGAAAGCUUCAAAUAAAGGUAGCACACUGCUACACUUCAUAUGGAGGAACAUCAUUUGCCAAUUUGGCAUCCCUCAAUCCAUCGUCACUGACAACGACAUGUAAUUUAUAGGCAAAGAUUUGGCGAAGUUCUUCCAAAAGUAUGACAUCAAGCAGCACAUGUCCACGCUAAGAUAUCUUGAAGGCAAUGGGCAAGCCGAAGCAUCUAACAAGAUGAUUCUUGACUGCCUCAAAGAAAUCCCUUUCCAACAAGAAGGGAAAGUGGCCAGAUGAACUUCCCGAAUGUCUAUGGGUAUAUCGUACCACUAAAAGAUGAGCAGCUAGUGAGACUUCUUUCUCUUUGGUAUUUGGCUUAGAAACAAUCAUUCCUCCUAAUGUCUGAUGCGAAUUUGACUUAACACACAAAUUAAACCCUCUUGUAUCAAUUGUAGUAAAGAAUGUAAGUAGGGAUCGUUCUGGACCAGGGAUUAGGAGGGCUUGCUAAUAACCUCUAAACUGACUUAAAAACAUAAAAUUAAGUUUAAAACACCAAACUAGACUCAAAAGAUGCAAUACAAAUUAAAAAGACUCAAAACUAGUUUAAAAGACUCAAAACAGCUUAAAAUAAUGAAUUAGACUCUAAACUGACUCUAGGGAUGGUUUUGGACGAAAUUAGGUUCUAACUUGACUCAAGACACUUAAAAACACAAAUCAAAACAAAUUUUGACUAAUAAAACACUUUAAAGUGAAUGGGGAUUUGAUUUUGACGAAUUUGAAAACAAAACAAGUAAAUUAAAAAACUAAUGAAAUCUGCACAAAUUUAAGUAAAUUGAAUGGAUGGAAGGCUAGCUAGGAGGUUCUUCUCCACACCUGACAUACUUGCAAAUAAAUAAAUUUUUAGUUGUUCUUUCGAUCAAUCAUGAAACUCAACACCCAAGGUUAAUUAAGUCGCUUAAAUUAACCUUCAAGUUCUCCUUAAGCUAUGGAAUUGGAUGGGAAAGCGCAUACAACAAUUCAAGCAUUCUUCAAAAGUUCUUUACAUGAACAGCACAAUAAAGAUACAAUCAAAGAUCAUUAAGCAUUAUGAAAACUAUAAGUAUUGACGAGGCAUUCGUUACUACGAUGAGCAUGAAACUCCUGCCAAGAAUUUAUUUAACGCGAUCGUUUAUAAGUGACCUCCACUACUUGUGAAUAUAAGUUUGUAACUAUUAGGUGAAACUCCCUUAUACUCUAGCAUCAUAUUCAUGCAUGCAAACUAAGUGUGCACUCUUAAUAAACAUACACGAAUAAGUUAUCAAUCAAGCAGUUAAACAAAUUGAAUUCACAACUUAUGAAAUCAUAACUGAAGGUAAUCAAAUCAUAUUGCAAGCAUGAACAUGGUUUCGAAUUCCCUCCUAGCUAGGGGGGUUUAGUUCCUCAUACUUACAAAGCAAAGAUAAACAAAUUUAGACAUUGAAAACAAAAGAAAGAAAACACCUAAAAAUGCUCCAACAAUCCAACUUGAAUGGCAAGCACGUCCAAGGGUCCUCUUUCUUCUCUUUGUUACGGCACAAGGUGUGGUUUGAUGGAUGAGUAAUAAAUUAUGGUGGUGGAUAGAUAUAGGUGAGUUAUGGUGAAGGGUGGAGGGGUGGAUUGUGUUCUCUCUGGUUUGCUUCCCCCUUGUUAUGGUGAAGGGUGGAUGUAUUUAUAGGCUAGGGAGAGGACCACCAUCUAAUUAAGGUGGUAGUAAUGAGUGUUGUGGUAAUGAGUGGAUGUAAUGGGUGUGGUGGAUGGAUUUUUGGUAAUGAGUGGAUGUAAUGGGUGUAGUGGAUGAGUGUUUGGUAAUGAGUGGAUGUAAUGGGUGUAGUGGAUGAGUGUUUGGUAAUGAGUGGAUGUAAUGGGUGUAGCGGAUGGAUGUUUGGUAAUGAGUGGAUGUAAUGGGUGUGGUGGAUGGAUGUUUGGUAAUGAGUGGAUGUAAUGGGUGUAGUGGAUGAGUGUUUGUAGUUGUAGGUCAACACACUUGCACACACACAUGCUGAUUUCUAGCCUUCUAAUCUUCAAAAACGUCCAUCCUCAUGUCUCCAUGCUUGCACUAUCCAAUCUUGGCCCAAAAAUGCUCCAAAGUGCUCCAAAUAGCACUUUGUUGCCAACUUUGUUAUUUGAACCUACAAACACACGAAAAUAGCUUAAAGUACUAAAAUAACUAGAAUUAAACUAAGUAAAUGCCAAGAAACAAGCUCACUAAGUUGCAUAAAUAUGCUCCUAUCAAUGUCAUCGUGUCAAGUAUCAGCACUGUACUGCAAAACAUUGAGUAUAAUAGUAAGGAGAUGGCCACAAGCUUAGAUCUAUUAGAGGAGAAUCAUGAGCAGACCAUCACCCAAAUCCCAACUUACAAGUAGCAACUUCUUUACAGCUACAACAAAUGGGCCAAGAUCCGGUAGUUCUAACCCUGAGAUCUAGUCUUAAGAAAAACCUUCAUCACUGCAUGCAGAGAAGGCUCCAAAAAGAUGGAUCCCAUUAAGGAAGGUUCGUACAAGAUCAGCAGAGUAGGCGGCAAAGGUAAUUACACUAUCGCCGCCAUGAACGACAAAGAGAUCAAAAAGUAGUGGAACGCCUACAAUUUGAGGAAGUACCAUGUGUGACCUCCCACUACAUCAAAGCCUGAAGAACUCAAGUAGCUCAACAUGCACCACCUCGCGAACCGAGGAUUAUCCAAUUGUUAUACAUUUCUACUUUACGGCUAAGUUUUCGUGCGUUUCACUCAUUUUUCAAUGAGUAAUUCAGAAGUAAUUUACAACUUGGAUCGACUACAUGUCUACAACAAUUGAUCACUCCUGCACUUCAAAAGAAUACCGCACCAUUCUUAGGGACUUACCAUAGAAAUUGCACCCCCCCCCGAGGGACCAACCAUGCUCUCCAAUAUAAUAGGGUAAACCAAUUCCCUAACACCCACAUUGGUCUGUUCUCCAAAACGGAAGGAUAAACUCCACACACCGAAUAUCUAAACGUGGAUAAGCUAGGCUGCCCUAGUAUAGCUAGGAGCAUAUUUAUGCAACUUAGUUAGCUUGUUUCUUGGCAUUUACUUAGUUUAAUUCUAGUUAUUUUAGUACUUUAAGCUAUUUUCGUGUGUUUGUAGGUUCAAAUAACAAAGUUAGCAACAAAGUGCUAUUUGGAGCAUUUUGGAGCAUUUUUGGGCCAAAAUUGGAUAGUGCAAGCAUGGAGACAUGAGGAUGGACGUUUUUGAAGAUUUGAAGGCUAGAAAUCAGCAUGUUUGUGUGCAAGUGUGUUGACCUACAAUUACCAAAUAUCCAUCCACUACACCCAUUACAUCCACCCAUUACCACAACACUCACCCACUACACCCAUUACAUCCACUAAUUACCAAACACUCACCCACUACACCCAUUACAUCCACUCAUUACCAAACAUCCAUCCACUACACCCAUUACAGACACUACAUUCACAUCUCACAACUCCAUACACUUACACUUUCAUUCCUUGGCCGAGAGAACACAAUUCACCCAUCCACCCUCCACCAUAACUCACCUAUAUCCAUCCACCACCAUAAUUUACCACUCAUCCAUCAAACCACACCUUGUGCCGCAACAAAGAAAAGAAGGAGGACCCUUGGACGUGCUUGCCAUUCAAAUUGGAUUGUUGGAGCGUUUUUUAGGUGUUUUCAUUCUUUUGUUUUCAAUGUCUAAAUUUGUUUAUCUUUGCUUUAUGAGUAUGAGGAACUAAACCCCCCUUAGCUAGGGGGGAAUUCGAAACCAUGUUCAUGCUUGCAAUAUGAUUUGAUUACCUUCAGUUGUGAUUUCAUAAGUUGUGAAUUCAAUUUGUGUAAUUGCUUGAUUGAUAACUUAUUCUUGUAUGUUUUUUAAGAGUGCACACUUAGUUUGCAUGCAUGAAUAUGAUGCUAGAGUAUAAGGGAGUUUCAACUAAUAAUUACAAACUUAUAUUCACAAGUAGUGGAGGUCGCUUAUAAACGAUCACGUUAAAUAAUUCUUGGCAGGAGUUUCAUGCUCAUCAUAGUAACGAAUGCCUCGUCAAUACUUAUAGUUUUCAUAAUGCUUAAUGAUCUUUGAUUGUAUCUUUAUUGUGCUGUUCACGUAAAGAACUUUUGAAGAAUGCUUGAAUUGUUGUAUGCGCUUUCCCAUCCAAUUCAAUAACUUAAGGAGAACUUGAAGGUUAAUUUAAGCGGACUUAAUUAACCUGGGGUGUUGAGCUUCAUGAUUGAUUGAAAGAACAACUGAAAAUUGGUUUAUGUGCAAGUAUUUCAUGUGUGGAGAAGAACCUCCUAGCUAGCCUUCCAUCCAUUCAAUUUACUCAAAUUUGUGCAGAUUUCAUUAGUUUUUUAAUUUACUUGUUUUGUUUUCAAAUUCAUCAAAACCAAAACCCCCUUUACUUUAAAGUGUUUUAUUAGUCAAAAUUUGUUUUGAUUUGUGUUUUGAGGUGUCCCAAAAGUGUGUUAGAGUCCAAAUUUGCCCAGUUUGUGUUUUUAGGCAGAUUUGAGCGUUUUUAGCUUGUUUUGAGUCCUUUGAGUUUGUUUUAAUUUCUUUGAGUCUAGUUUAGUGUUUUUAGCUUUGUUUAUAUGUUUUUAAGUCAGUUUAGAGGUUUUAGCAAGCCCUCCUAAUCCCCGGUUUAGAACGAUCCGUACUUGCAUUUAUACUACAAUUUGACAACAAAAGGGUUUAAUUUGUGUAUUAAGUUAAAAUUCGCAUCAAAUUUUUGGCACCGUUGCCGGGGAUUAGCAACUUUGCUAAUCCCUUGUUAUUUCUUUUUGUAUAUUUUCGUGUCUUUUGUUUUUAGUUACUGAGUUUGUUUCUGUUUUUGUUUUUUUUUUUUUUUGUUUUACUUUUGAUAUUUGAUUUAGUUUUGUUUCCUUGAUUUUAGGUACUAGAGAAGUAAGACAUGGAUUUUGCUACCAUUCACGCUCAAUUGGCGAAACUUACUUCUCAAUUGUCACAAUAUCCCGAAAGGACCACAAUGCAAAGUGUCCCUACAUAUGGUGUGUCCUAUGGGCAAGGAUAUCCAACUCAUCAAUGUUCUCAAUUAGCUAAGAAUGAAGAUGCUUGGGGUUAUCAAGGCCAUAGCCAAUCAUGGGACAACAUGUUUUCCAACGCUUACAAUUCGGAUUGGAGAGAUUAUUCAGAUUACAUGUGGGGAGAACCUCAAUAAUUCCAACAAGAUGGAUAUUGGUAGCAAAAAGAGGAGUUCUAUUUAAGACCUAUGCAGCCACCACAACCUCCUCCACAACAAUUCCAAUCAAAUUCAAGUAUGCCUAUGAGUUAUGAUGAAAUUCUUGAUGUACUAACCUCGUUGACGCAGGGCUCACAACAAGAAUAAUAUUUGCCGCCAUCGGAUGAGUUCUAUCACUGGCCAUAUGAACCAUCACAGCCACCACAACAAUCUGCCCAAUUCAAUUCAGGUACGUCUUUGGAUAAUGAUAUGUUUAAUUAGUUACUCACCACUUUGAACCAGGAAGUAGAAAAUCGAAACAAAGAGAUGCAAAAUCAAGCCAAGAUGACGGGUGAAUUGGAGAAGCAAAUUGGGCAGAUUAUGAAGUUCAUGGCACAAAUUCAAGAGCAAAGUGAACUCUCCAACUCAACUAUUGAAAAUUUGAAGGAAGAUUUUGAAAUCCAUGAUGCCAUCACUUUGGGAAGUGCUAUGGAGGUUGGAGGUGAACCCAAGACAUCCAAACCAAGCCAAAACAUGGAUGAACAACUGCUGCUCAAAGAAGAGGAGAAUAACAAGGCCACGGCAAGGGAAGAACCACCCUUGCCGCAGCCCCAUAUGCCCUAUAUGUCGUCCACUACAACCAAGGUAAGCCUAAAUUCAAUUUGUCUUGACCCCGUUUCACCAAAUGUCCUUAUUCCUUGCAGGAUCAUGCAAUCCAAGGAAGAAGAAGGUGAGAAAGGCAUAUUCGAAACCUUUCCAAAUAAUCAAAAGCAAGAAGUGGAUGGGGAAUGUCUAGAAUUUAUCAAAGAAGAUACACUUGAGAUGAAAAUUCCCAAAGAAGUUGGAUUUUAUGACACAGGAAAAGUUAUAACUCUUAAAACACCAAAUCUGGCCAAGUCCCAUAUCCCUGAUGUGGUGUUCGUAAUUGAGUUUGUGUUGGACCAAGCAAGUAAGCCAUCUUCUCCAACUUCGAUUUUAUUAUAUAUUAACUUACUGAUUUUGAUGAUUCAGGCACCUACACUAGAAUUUAAACCAUUGCCGGAUCACGUCAAGUAUCACUUUCCAAUCAAGGAUCAAUUCUAUGCUAUGGGCCUUAUCCAAGUUUAGAAGGAAGUUUAGUCCGGCUGGAAGACGUUAAAGCAAGCGCUUCUUGGGAGGCAACCCAUGUAUUCAAAUAAGGAAGAUUUUUGAAUUGCUCCACGAUUGGUUUUGCGUUCCUAAAAACCUUCCCUUUUUUGUAGUUUUAUUUUGCUAUGAUUGUCAUUUUUAUUUGUUGCUUGUUUAAUUGUUUUUUGUGUGGGUUUAUUUUUGAAACAUUGACAGAUAUGCAAGGUAUUUUACAUUCAUUUUCAUAAAAAAAAAAAAUAAAGGGAACAUUAAGCAGAAAAAUACAAGAGAGAGCCUUCACAAAGGUUGCUUAGGAGAAGUCUCAGUAGUCGGCAGAGCCUCAGCAGUUGGCGGAGCCCCAGAAGGAGGAGGCAUUGGAGGUUGAUCAUUUGGAGCUUUAUUACACGGUACAACCCCAGAAGACAAAGGCAAAUGUUGUUGGAACAAACCCACAAACAUCUGAUGAUCAAGUAAAAACCAUCAGAUUCCUGCAUCUGGUCAAUCUUCCUCUUCAUGUUUGUAGCAUAGUUAUGUGCGAGCCUGUGCAACUGUGUAUUCUCAUGCUUAAGCCCUCUAAUCUCCUGCUUGAGACUCAUCACUUCAGCCGCCAAUAAUUCAAUGUGACGGGUUCGGGCAAAUAGGCGUUGGGCCAUAUUAGACACGAAACCUGCGCACUGCACACUGAGAGCCAGAGAAUCCUUAACAGCCAACUCAUCAGACCGUUUGGCAAGUAGUCUGUUAUCUUUGGGAAUAACAAGGUUCCGGGCCACCACCGCAGUGGUCAUAUCAUUCUUCAUUACCGAAUCCCCAAUGGUAAGAGGACCAGUAGGGGAUAUGAAGGAUGGGCGCCAUAUGUUGUCUGAAGAAGGCAUGGAUGCCUCUUUACCAAGGUUCAAGUCAAAACAACGGUCGGAAGGGCCAGAGAUUUUCAAAGGUGUUGAAGAAAGAAGAGGUCGAACAAGUCAAGAUCGUAGAAAUGCAAGAAGGGAGUUUCUACAAGUAGAAGUUCAAUUGUGCUUUGAAACGUACUGCAUACCUCUAUACAAAUCAGCACUCGACGGGCAGUUUGUUGAAGCGCCGAUUCCAGAUAUCAAAAAGGCAUCAGCUUUAUCCAGACGUGUCAGCAUCUGUCACAUACACACUCAGCCUUGCGGAAAUUACGGGCAAUCUGUGGAAGAUUUUUGGUGAAGUAGAAAUCACGUGAAGUUUAUUGUUCAAUCAUCCAACGGUUGCAGACAAGAGUGAAAGAAUAGUACCGGUUAUUAUUUCCUAUAAAUGUCGACCUUCACCCUCCAUAGCAAGGCAGACAUACAUAACCUUCCGUCAUCUCCGAGAAUACCUUCCCAACGAAGCCUCUCAAGUCACUCAGUGUUUCUUAUUCCUUGGGGUACCUUUGCUAACAACUCAUCCAAAGAAAAAGUAUUUCAUAUCAUGAAGGUUGAAAGCAAGAGUAUCUCAUAUCAUGCUUUCUCCCUGUCCUUCUCCUUGUCGUUGUUUUCAUCUGCGGGACAAGGAGAAUUAGAGCAAUCAGCCAACACUUGGUAUCAAUCUUCCGAUCUGGAACCGACUGCCUAGAACCCCUUCCUGAUUGCUUACCUAGCCUUGCUCUCCAGUACUCAUCUUCAUCAUUUUAUGCUUCUUAUUCGUCUACCACAUCUGCCUAGGGAACAAAUAAGGGAAAUGAAAAUGAUACCUCGAAGCAUGUGGAGACAAUUUGCCAAUUCAUCCUCAGCUAGGGACAAGGAGAAAGAAAGCAAGAGGUGGGCACUUGGAAAGAUUGAAGAAAGAAACAGACCAACACCUCUAUCUCGUGCCUGCCUGCCGUGCAGAAGAAACAAGCAGAGAAGAAUGCUGACUGCACAAUCAAAUCAACCCAGCAGAAGGAGUCUGAUUUGAAACCAAGGAACUCUCGCUCAGAAUUUCGAACCAGUUCGAGAUCAAAGCUGUGGAAAGACAACAAGAUCAUCUAUCUCCAAAACCAGAUUUGCGUUCUUAAACUCUACUCUGUCUGGUUUUUACUUUGCCAUACUUGUCAUGUUUAUUCGUUGUUUGUUUGAUUGUUUGCUUGUGUUUGUGUGAGUUUAUGCUUGAAACAUUGAGGACAAUGUUCGAUUUAAGUGUGGGGGGGGGGGUAACCAAGUUGUUUUGCAUGAAAUUUGUGGGAGUUUAUCACCCAUUACUUCUAGUGUUGUUCCUUGCUAUUUUAAGUGUUUUUAUGCUGUUUUGGAGUGUUUUAGUGUGUUUUGACAUAAAAAUCCGAAAAUCACAUAAAAAUUUGAAAAAUUGUUCUAAAAAAACCCAAAAAGAGUUUUAUUGUGUGUUUGUUUGUGUCUUAGGUACCUUCCAACACAAUGAUGAGGAUUUGGUUUUUAAUUACAUGACUGUUAAAGAUAAUUAUAAACAUGGAUGAAAAUUUGGUUUACUUUUUGGUGUAUGCUUGGUUGUGGUUAUAAUUUAAGAAUUCACAUGCAAUCAUAAAGGAAAAAUCAGUUUUUGUAACAUGCUUGAAAGAAGGAAUCAAAUGAACGCUGCAACUGGUAGGUUUAAAAGCACACCACAAAGUAGCACACAAAUAUCCUAUUAAUUUUCCUUAUCAACACUAGGAUUUGUCAAUUGUAGCAUAUGUAAAUAAGGGUCUUUCCCGUAGAAGAUUGUUUUAUCCAAAUACUUAAAAUGUCACAAAAACGGGGUGGCUGUCUCCACUGACAAGCCACCGAACAAUAAUUAUUAGACUAACUUACACUUAUCCAAAUGCAACGAAAUUUUAUACACAUAAACUACACACACCAAGCUAUGCUCACACAAAGUUUUGGGAUAUUUGGAGUUGAUUAGCUAUUUCAAUUAAAUCGGACAAAACAGGACCUCAACAAGUUUUAAAUAAUACCAAUAGAUUUUAAUUCACAAGUUAAGAAAACGAGUUAGGGGACAUGCUAUCCACCACCAAAUAAUCAUGCAAGCAUGUUAUGUUUCAUUCAAAUCCCUUUUAUUUCCGGAUGAAGAUGCUCAAGUUGGCUCACUGUUAGAACUCAACCUAUUACUCUUUCUUACGUAGUAUGUUAAGAGAAUGGCGUUUUCAACUUAACUUAGUCCCUAGAAUGCAAUCUAGAAUGGCGUGUUCAUAGAUUUAACAAGUAGAAAUCAUUAAGAAUAAAAAGAGUUUGAGUCAUCACAAGGCAUCGUAAGCACUGGCGUUGUCUUACUUAUCCUAGAAAUCGGUUCACAUGUUAACCACAAUUAACAAGUGCUACUCUAGAACAUAUGUAGGUCCUCAUUCAACAAGGGCAGGUAAACAUAUAUUCAUAGCAUUAAAAUCCUAGAUAUGCUCACUAUGUAUGCAUCCAUAGAAACACAUAAAGAAUUUAUCAAUGACAUAAGUAGUGAAACAAUUUUCAUCCUUUCAUAAAAGUCAUUCAAACAAAAUAUCACAACAAACUUACAAUCAUAUUCGGGGCUUCAAAACAGCCCCUAACUACUAAAAAUUAGUUACAAAUUAUUCUCAAAUUAAACCAAAAGUAAAACGCUCCCCUCUAUUUCUUCAGUCUGUCAUCUCUGUCCGUACCUACCCCCCUGCUUCUCUCUUUAAUUGCUGUUUUUAUUCUUUCUGCCAAUUUUUGUCAGUCCCGCCACCAAUCCACUUUUCCCUUUGUUUAUUCAUGCCGUGCUGCACUCUUUCUUAUUCUUCUAUUUUUCUUUGCUUUUAUCCCGCACUCCUCACUCCCUCUCCUGCUUUUUGUUCCACUUCCAUCCCAUGCGCACUCCACUUCCUUCCCACUCUUCUCUGUCUGCCGUUCUACCUAUUUCCUCAUUCUUUUAUUCUGUCAGUGUCUCCCUUUCCGUCCCAUUUAUUUUCUGUUGUUUUAUUUUUUAUUUAUUUUUUUAUUUCCUUUUCUCAAUUUUGCUUGAAAUUGAUCCUAAAACAAAAUUAACUGCACAUUAACACAAGGUAAGGUAAAAUACCACAAUUUUAACACAAAAACAUCACAAAGACUUUAGAAAUGGAUGGUAUAAAUGCAUGAAAUAUAUGAGUGAUCAAAUACCCCCAAACUUGCAUUUUUGCUAGUCCUCUAGCAAAACAAAACACAAAACAAAACCACUCAACUAAGACUAGAUUCAACAACUUAGUAGCCAACUUCUCAACUUCGAUUUCAGAGAUAACAUCAUCCAAUAAUUAACCAAAUUUCCUUCAAACAAAACGUUGAAAAGCCAUGUGUGAGCUAGCCAUGUCAAUGCAAUUCCAAGCUCCUUUAAAUCAUCAUAUGCAAACAUGUGAGUUUCUCACAAGACAUACGCUCAUUCACUCAUAAGUUUUGGUUAAUGUGUUUCACUCAAGUGAUCUCAUUGUACAUGCUGCCAUAUGCUUGCUUGUCCACCUAACUCGCAUAUCAAUAUUUAAGUAAUACCUUGGAUCAAUAGGACUUUAUUACGGUUGUAAUGGGGCUAAAGGUGAUAGGCUAAUGAAAGAAAGGAUAUGGAAAUCAAAAAUUUUGAGAAAGUACACUUUGGUAGUUUUCCAACAUCUCAAUAUCACACCACCUCAAAUUGAAAGCAAAAUAAUAAAACCUCGAGCACCAGUUACUCCCCAAAUUCAACUUCAAAAGGAAAUUUAUACUCUGUCGACACAUUUUCAACAAAUCAACACUCUCCAAUUUUCAUAUAUUUCGUUUUUUUUUUUUUUUUUUUUUUUUUUUUUUAAUGAAAGAAACAAAUCUGCAAAAGCUACAUCACCCAUCAAAUUCACAUUUCAUUGUAAUACACAUGCUUCAUCCAUCUUUCUACAUAAAUGAAACCCCCAAAAGCACAACCCAUGUAAUACUUUCUCAAAACAAUAAGGAAUCGAUUUUUGUGUAUGGGCUCAACUCCAAUAUUGGAGCAAGGUAAAGAGAUGUGGCUAACAAAGAAAUGGCUUAGUUAAAGGCUCAAUGGGCUACUACAGAUAAACAUAGCAUAUAAGGUAGGCAUGAAAGGCUCAAACGAUCCAAAGAUGGCCUAUAUCACUUCCAAGUUAUUACAUGAAUUGAUUAAUGAAUCGAGUAGUAUAAAGCAAGUUCUAGAGAUACAUGUACAGUGAGAUCAUACGCACAAGAAGGAAUGAGAUUGAUGCAUAAUGGUUCAAUCAUGUAUAGGCUCAAAAACUCACAAGGUUUACAUAAUCUCACCUGAUUCACAUAUGAAACGCUAAAUCAUGCUCAAGUUUCACAUUGACAAGACUAGGCACAUUUAUUUUUCAAGUUGACUUCUGGAAAUCACAAUUAAUACAAAGACAACGAAAAGAACUUAGACUUUCUUGAAAGUAAGAAGGAAAUUAAGAUCAAAUCUCAUCAUUGAAUUGAGAAGUAGCUACAAACAACAAUAAAAAUGCAAAAACUUUUUUAUUUUUUUUAUUUUUUUAUUUUUUUUAUAGAGAAAUAAACUAACGAAAUAUAUUUCCACCCCCAAACUUAAUUAUAGCAUUGUCCCCAAUGAUAAUGAAAGGAAUUUUUUAACAAUAAGACAUAAAAAUGGAAGGAAAGAAAUAUAAAAUGAAAUAAAGACACAUAAAGAAAAGGAAAGAACACACCAAUUUGUGUAGGCGAGGAGAGCAAAUGUGUGAGUAACCCGUGGGAUUAAAAUCAGACUCCUUCUCCUGGGUUGAUUUGAUUGCUCAGUCUGCAUUCUUCUCUGCUUGUUUCUUCUGCACGGCAGGCAGGCACGAGGUAGAGGUGUUGGUCUGUUUCUUUCUUCAAUCUUUCCAAGUGCCCACCUUUUGCUUUCUUUCUCCUUGUCCCUAGCUGAGGAUGAAUUGGCAAAUUGUCUCCACAUGCUUCGAGGUAUCAUUUUCACUUCCCUUAUCUGUUCCCCAGGCAGAUGUGGUAGACGAAGAGGAAGCACAAGAUGAUGAAGAUGAGUACUCGAAAGCAAGGCUAGGUAAGCAAUCAGGAAGGGGUUCCAGGCAGUUGGCUCCAGAUCGGAAGAUUAAUACCAAGUGUUGGCUGAUUGCUCUCUUUCUCCUUGUCGUAAAACAAAGACAAGGAGAAGGACAGGGAGAAAGCAUGAUAUGAGAUACUCUUGCUUUCAACCUUCAUGAUAUGAAAUACUUUUGCUUUGGAUGGGUUGUUUGCAGAGGUACCCCAAGGAAUAAGGAACACUGAGUGACUCGAGAGGGUGUGGUGGAAAGGCAUUCUCGGAGAUGAUGGAAGGUUAUGUAUGUCUUCCUUGCCAUGGAGGGUGAAGGUCGACAUUUAUAGGAAAUAAUAACCGGUACUGUUCUUUUACUCUUGUCGGUAACCAUUAGAUGAUGGAACAGUAAACUUCACGUGUUUUCUACUUUACCAGAGAUCUUCGACAGAUUGCCCGUAAUUUCCGCAAAGCAGACUCUGCAUGUGACAGAUGUUGACACGUCUGGAAAAGCAGAUGCCUCUCCGAAAUCUGGAAUUGCCUCUUCGAAAUCUGAGCUCCGUCGAGUGCAGAGGUUGUAUGUGACGAGUGCAGACAAAUCUGGAAAAGAAGAUUUGCCGUGGUUUCUAAGCAAGCUCAGCUUUUGAGAAAGCUAGCGCCUCUUUGAUUUUUUUAGUUGGCCUCUUCGAUUUCUAAGCUCGCCUCUUCGAUCUCUGAAAUCCCAUCGCGUGCUGCUUUUUAUAGAGGUAUGCAGGACGUUCAAAGCACACUUGAAUUUCUGCCUGUAAAAACUCCCUCUUUGCAUUUCUACGAUCUUGACUUGUCCGACCUCUUCUUUCUAUAACACCUCUGAAAAAUGUAUGGCCCUUCCGACCGUCGUUUUGACUUGAACCUUGGUAAAGAGGCAGCUCUGCCUUCUCCAGACAACAUAUGGCGCCCAUCCUUCAUAUCCCCUACUGGUCCCCUUACCGUUGGGGAUUCGGUGAUGAAGAAUGAUAUGACAGCUGCGGUGGUGGCCAGGAACCUUGUCACUCCCAAAGAUAACAGACUACUCGCCAAACGGUCUGAUGAGUUAGCUGUUAAGGAAUCUCUGGCUCUCAGUGUGCAGUGUGCAGGUUCCGUAUCCAAUAUGGCCCAACGCCUAUUUGCCCGAACCCGUCAAGUUGAAUCAUUGGCGGUUGAAGUGAUGAGUCUCAAGCAGGAUAUUAGAGGGCUUAAGCAUGAAAAUAAACAAUUGCACAGGCUCGCACAUAAUUAUGCUACAAACAUGAAGAGGAAGAUUGACCAGAUGCAGGAAUCUAAUGGUCAGAUUUUACUUGAUCAUCAGCGGUUUGUGGGUUUGUUCCAACAGCAUUUGCCUUCUUCUUCUGGGGCUGUAUCGCGUAGUGAAGCUCCAAAUGAUCAACCUCUGAUGCCUCCUCCUUCUGGGGCUCCGCCGACUGCUGAAGCUCCGCCGACUACUGAGACUUCUCCUAAGCAGCCUUUGUGAAGGCUCCCUCUUGUAUUUAUAUGCUUAAUGUUCCUUUCGUUUUUAUGAAUGUAAAAAUACCUUGCAAGAAGUUGUCGUAGAGAUUGCAAAAUCAUUACCUGCAUAAAGGAACACAAGUAGGACUUAAACACAAAAACCAGAAAACAAGAGAAAAACAGAACAAGAAAAUUUAAAAUUAUUCAAAAAUAAAGAUGAAAGAUAGAAACCUUGGGUUGCCUCCCAAGAAGCGCUUUCCUUAACGUCUUGCAGCCGGACGAUGCCUCCAGUCACACUCCCCUAGGUUCCAUGGCAUGGAAGUGAACUUCGAAUGGAAGGUGAUACUUGAAGUGAUCCGGCAGUUGGACUAAAAACUUCCCCAAUGUGCAGUAAAAUCAAAUGAUGACCCCCAAACUUUAAUUCUGCAAUCAAAUCCAAGGGUGGACAUAACCCAAAUACAAAGAAAAGAAAUAAUUCAGUUUAGCAUGCAAGAAAAUUGAAAAUGAUAGAAAAAGGCAAUGAAUAGAAAUAUUGGGUUGCCUCCCAAUAAGCGCUUGCUUUUACGUCCGCAGCCAGACGGUACCAAGAGUAAUCAUCCAAAGGGAACUGGUUCUUGGAGAGGUACAACCUCCACAUCAUGCUCCGCAAAAGACUCGUAAUAUGGCUUGAGUCUAUGCCCAUUCACUUUGAACAUGUAUCCGGUCUUUGCACUUUGGAUUUCCACUGCACCAUGAGGAAAAAUAUUUGUUAUAACAAAUGGACCAACCCAUCGAGAACGAAGCUUACCUGGAAAUAACCGAAGGCGAGAAUUAAAUAGAAGAACUUUCUGUCCAAUGACAAAGCUCUUCCUUAAGAUCAUCUUGUCAUGAAAUGCCUUUGAUUUCUCCUUGUAUAUUCGACUAGACUCGUAUGCAUCAUUCCGGAUUUCGUCUAACUCAUUUAAUUGAAGCUUCCUUUGCUUUCCGGCAACACUCAUGUCCAUGUUGUAGGCUUUGAUCGCCCAAUAAGCUUUGUGCUCUAACUUUACUGGAAGACGGCAUGGUUUCCCAUAAAUUAACCGAAAUGGGGACAUUCCAAUAGGAGUCUUAUAGGCAGUCCUAUAAGCCCACAAUGCAUCGUUCAAGCGCAUGCUCCAAUCCUUCCUACUAGGACUCACAGUUUUCUCCAAAAUUUGUUUCACCUCACGAUUUGAUACUUCUGCUUGACCGCUAGUUUGUGGAUGAUAAGGUGUAAACACCUUAUGUGUGACAUUGUACUUCCUAAGCAACGCUUCAAAUGUUCGAUUGCAAAAAUGACUCCCUCCAUCGCUAAUGAUUGCUCUAGGUAUUCCAAAUCUUGCAAAGAUGUUACUCUUAAUAAAAUCUGAAACCACUUUUGAAUCAUUAGUCUUGGUGGCUUUUGCUUCCACCCAUUUAGAAACAUAAUCCACAGCCAAUAAAAUGUAAAGAAAACCAUUUGAAGAUGGAAAAGGUCCCAUGAAAUCAAUGCCCCACACAUCAAAGAUCUCAACAACCAAAAUAGGGGUUUGUGGCAUUUGAUUUCUUGGGCCCAAGUUACCUGUUCGUUGACAACGAUCACAUGUUGCACAAAACUCGUACACAUCUUUAAACAAACUAGGCCAAUAAAAACCACUCUCUAACACGUUCAGGGCUGUCCUCUUUGCUCCAAAAUGGCCACCACAUGCAUAAGAAUGACAAAAAGUUAGAAUAGAUUUAAACUCAGAUUCGGGGACACACCUUCUAAUCAAUUGAUCAGUGCAAUAUUUCCACAAAUAAGGAUCAUCCCACUCGUAGUAUUUGGCGGUUUUGACAAGCUUAUCUUUUUGAGCACGUGUAAAAUCAUCCGGAAUCUUUUUGAUGACCUUAUAAUUGAUAAUAUCUGCAUACCAAGGGUCAAUAAUCUUUAAUGAAAACAGUUGCUUAUCCGGAAAACUUUCACGUAAAGGGAUGAGAUCUUCCUCUAUGUUUGAAUGCACAAGUCGGCUAAGAUGAUCUGCUACAACAUUCUCACUCCCUUUCUUAUCCUUGAUCUCCAAGUCAAACUCUUGAAGCAGAAGUAUCCAUCAAAUGAGUCGUGGUUUUGCAUCUUUUUUUGUGAGUAGAUACUUCAAAGCUGCAUGGUCAGAAACCACAAUAACUUUAGUCCCAAUCAGAUAAGAUCUAAAUUUUUCUAAAGCAAAUACAACAGCUAAAAGCUCAUUCUCUGUUGUUGAAUAAUUCAACUGUGCAUCAUUGAGUGUUCGAGAUGCAUAAUAGAUGACAUGUGGCAAUUUGUUGACACGCUGCCCUAGAACUGCACCAACAGCAUAGUCUGAAGCAUCGCACAUUAACUCAAAAGGUAAACUCCAAUCUGGUGGCAUGAUUACAGGAGUCGUGGAUAACAACUGCUUAAGCUUAUUGAAUGCUACCACACACUCUUCAUUCAUAUCAAAUGUUACAUCCUUUUGAAGUAAACGACACAAGGGUCUAGAAUUCAUUGAGAAGUCCUUCAUAAACCUACGGUAGAAACCUGCAUGUCCAAGAAAAGAACGAACCUCCCUGACAGUAGUAGGGAUGGGUAAAGAACUAACAAGUUUUACUUUAGAUUUAUCAACUUCAAUUCCCUUUUCAGAUAUGAUAUGCCCUAGAACUAAUCCAUGCGAAACCAUGAAAUGGCAUUUUUCCCAAUUUAACACUAGAUUAGUUUCUUGACAACGUUUUAAAAUUAGGGACAGAUUAUGUAGACAUGUAUCAAAAGAAUCACCAUAAACUGAAAAAUCAUCCAUAAACACUUCAAUUAUUUUCUCAAUUAUAUCAGAAAAGAUACUUACCAUACACAUCUGAAAUGUGGCAGGGGCGUUGCACAAUCCAAACGGCAUCCUCCGGUAUGCAAAUGUGCCAAAUGGACAUGUGAAAGUCAUCUUUUCUUGAUCCUCCGGAGCAACUGCAAUUUGAUUAUAGCCAUAAUAGCCAUCAAGAAAACAAUAAUGAGAAUGACCAGCUAGCCUUUCUAAUAUUUGAUCAAUGAAUGGGACUGGAAAGUGAUCCUUGCGUGUGGUGUUAUUUAUCUUUCGAUAGUCUGUACAGACUCUCCAACUAUUUUGCACACGUGUAGGCAUUAGCUCAUUAGCUUCAUUCUUAACAACUGUGACUCCAGAUCGUUUAGGGACUACUUGAAUAGGGCUUACCCACUUGCUAUCCGAAAUAGGAUAUAUGAUGCCAACAUCAAGAAGUUUGAUAACCUAUUUUUUUACGACUUCCAUCAUGAGUGGGUUUAAACGGCGUUGAGAUUCCCUUGUUGGUUUUGCACCUUCCUCCAACAGAAUCCUAUGCAUGCAUGUAGCUGAAUUUAUACCUUUGAUAUCUACAAUGCUCCAAGCUAUGGCAGUCUUGUGAUCCUUCAGUACCCGGAUCAGUUUCUCCCCCUCUUCUGCUGUCAGUUGUGACGAUAUAAUGACUGGUAAUGUUUCAUCCUCUCCAAAAAAUGCAUACUUCAAAUGUUUAGGGAUCGGUUUAAGCUCCAAUUUAGGUGCUUGAAUCACAGAAGGAAGAGUUUUUUCGUUAGAAGUAGGAAGAGAAAUAAAAUAGGAAGAACACUUACCACGAAUUGGUGAAAGAGACUCAAGAGAGGCCACUGUUUGGAUUAAUUCUUCUUCAAUGUACUCUGAAUAAUUAAAAUUUCCAUGUGUAAUGCUAUGCACUAAUACCUUCUCUAAAUUAUCUUGUCCCACACCUUCAUUAAAAAUCCUGCACAAAAUAGUCAAACACAUCAAUAGACAAACAAGAUUCUAAUUCACUAGGAUACCUCAUAGCAUUGAAGAUUCUGAACUUGACGAUUUCCCCCUCAAUUUCCAUGGUUAAGGUACCAUCGUAGACAUCAAUCUUCAUCUGUGUUGUUCUAAGGAAUGGUCUUCCCAAUAUAAGAGGAAGUGCAGUAGGCAUAGGAUCAUGUUCCAUCUCAAGAACAAAAAAGUCAGCAGGAAAAAUGAGCUCAUUCACUUACACAAGUACAUCCUCUAAUAGGCCUUUGGGAUAUCUAUUUGAACGAUCUGCCAACUGGAUUACUACCUUUGUUUUCUUCAAGUCUCCAAGGUUCAAUGACUCAUACACUGAAUAUGGCAUCAGAUUCAUGGAUGCCCCCAAAUCACACAAUGCUCUCCCAAACUCUUUGCCUCCAAUUACACAUGGAAUGGUAAAGCUAUCGGCAUCUUUCAACUUCGGUGGCAGCUUUCUCUGCAAAACAGCUGAUACUUCCUCGCUUAAUGCCACAGUUUCUUGAUCAUUGAAUCUCCUCUUGUUCGUACAAAGCUCUUUAAGGAACUUUGCAUACUUGGGCACUUGUUUUAUGGCAUCUAAAAGAGGUAAGUUCACUUGGACUUUCCGAAAAGUAUCCAAGAUUUCCUUAUCAGUUUGCUCUUUCUUAGACUUCAUAAACCUACGAGAAAAAAGAAUAGGGACACAUGAGUUAAAUGAAUUUUGAACUUCUUUACUUACCUUAUCAGAAUCUUUUUUGUUCAAUUCUGUAUCUUUAGGAGACUUUUCAGUUUCUGUUGAAGCCUCAUCUUGCUCAAGAUUCUUGGUUUGUAGCUCCCCUUGUUCAAUUGUGUCUUUUCUAGUCCUAUUUUGCAUCCUCGGCUGCUCAAAAACUUCUUUUCCACUCCUUAAAGUCACAACAUUCAUCUGCUCCGCAUUUGUCACCACGGUUUGGCUAGGCAACCUUCCUGGUUGGUGUUGUUGCCCCAUCAAACUUGCUAACUGACUCAUUUGGCGCUCAAGGUUUUCAAUUGCUUUGUCUGUUUUCUGUUGAUGAGAUUGAGUAGAGUUAGCUAAAGAAGAAAUUAAAUCCUCAAGAGACUUACUUGGAGCUUGUUGUUGUUGAGGCUGAAAUGGUGCCUGCAGUCUUGCUUGAAAGAAGCCAGGCGGACGGUUAUAGUUGUUGGGAACAGAUUGUUGUCCGUUGUCUUGAUUGUUCCACUUUAAGUGUGGAUGAUCGCGCCAUCCUGCAUUAUAGUUAUUGGAAUAUGGAUCAUACUUUUGCCUUUGUUGCCCUUGAAAUCCUCCUAAUGCAUUAGCUUGCUCAAGACCACCUUGAUCCAUCGACGAAGGGCACAUGUCCGUGGCAUGUCCCAUCAUUGAACAUACACCACACACCUGUUUUGGAGCCACCAUAACCUGUUGCACAAGAUUAGUCAAGUUAGCUAAUUGUAAUUCAAUACUAGAAUUAGCACUUACCUCGUUAACUUUCUUAAAAGGUAGCUCAUCUCUCCCUCCAAAUUGUUGUAUGUUGCCAGCAAUGUUCUUUAAUAAUGCCUUAGCAUUUAUUGGUGUCUUGUCCAUGAAUGCUCCUCCACUUGCUGCAUCAAGCAUUACAUGAUCAGUACCAUACAAUCCCUCAUAAAAAUACUGUAUUAAAAGAUGCUCUGAAAUCUGAUGGUUAUGAUAAGAUGCAAAGGGCUUUCCAUGAUCAGUACCAAAUGUGUGAACCGCUCAUAGUAAUCUCCAAAGGGCUUUCCAUGUUGUUGUCGGAUUGCACAUAUGUCUUUCCUUAUGCUUGCAGCUUUUGUGGCCGGAAAAUAUUGCUCCAAGAAUGCUUGCUUCACCUGGUUCCAUGUGUUCAUUGAUCCCGAAGGUAAAUUGUAAAGCCACUCCUUUGCCUUAGCUUCUAAUGUAAAUGGGAAUGCCCUCAACUUGACUUGCUCCUCAUCCACAUUUGCUGGUCUCAUUCCUGAACAUACCACGUGAAACUCCAUGAGAUGCUUGUUGGCAUCCUCUGUUGAGAAGCCAUGGAACUUAGGCAAGUAGUGAAUCAUGCCGGACUUAAGCUCAAAUCCUCCUUCUGCAUUUGGAUAUGUGAUGCACAAUGGUUGUUGAUCCGUAUUUGGCAUUGCCAACUCCCUUAAUGUACGGUUAUCAGCCAUGCCUUCUUGUGGUUCCUCCUCCUCUUCCGAACUUAAAUGUGGUGGAGAAGAUGGUGGUAAAGACACCGAUGCACACUUUUGCUCGAUUUUUCUCUGAAGCUUUCGAAAUGUUCGUUCAAUCUCUGGAUCGUAGGAAGCUAGAUCAAUGCUCUUAGACUUUCGAGUAUGCAUGUACUACAAAGAGUACCUGAAAUAAAAACAAAAACACUAAUUGGACAAGAAAAUAAAACAAUAGAAAAAUAAGUAAUUUAGAAAUAACAAUCCCCGGCAACGGCGCCAAAAUUUGGUAGGUUUAAAAGCACACCACAAAGUAGCACACAAAUAUCCUAUUAAUUUUCCUUAUUAACACUAGGAUUUGUCAAUUGUAGCAUAUGAAAAUAAGGGUCUUUCCCGUAGAAGAUUGUUUUAUCCAAAUACUUAAAAUGUCACAAAAACGGGGUGGCUGUCUCCACUGACCAGCUACCUAACAAUAAUUAUUAGACUAACUUACACUUAUCCAAAUGCAACGAAAUUUUAUACACAUAAACUAGACACACCAAGCUAUGCUCACACAAAGUUUUGGGAUAUUUGGAGUUGAUUAGCUAUUUCAAUUAAAUCGGACAAAACAGGACCUCAACAAGUUUUAAAUAAUACCAAUAGAUUUUAAUUCACAAGUUAAGAAAACGAGUUAGGGGACAUGCUAUCCACCACCAAAUAAUCAUGCAAGCAUGUUAUGUUUCAUUCAAAUCCCUUUUAUUUCCGGAUGAAGAUGCUCAAGUUGGCUCACUGUUAGAACUCAACCUAUUACUCUUUCUUACGUAGUAUGUUAAGAGAAUGGCGUUUUCAACUUAACUUAGUCCCUAGAAUGCAAUCUAGAAUGGCGUGUUCAUAGAUUUAACAAGUAGAAAUCAUUAAGAAUAAAAAGAGUUUGAGUCAUCACAAGGCAUCGUAAGCACUGGCGUUGUCUUACUUAUCCUAGAAAUCGGUUCACAUGUUAACCACAAUUAACAAGUGCUACUCUAGAACAUAUGUAGGUCCUCAUUCAACAAGGGCAGGUAAACAUAUAUUCAUAGCAUUAAAAUCCUAGAUAUGCUCACUAUGUAUGCAUCCAUAGAAACACAUAAAGAAUUUAUCAAUGACAUAAGUAGUGAAACAAUUUUCAUCCUUUCAUAAAAGUCAUUCAAACAAAAUAUCACAACAAACUUACAAUCAUAUUCGGGGCUUCAAAACAGCCCCUAACUACUAAAAAUUAGUUACACAUUAUUCUCAAAUUAAACCAAAAGUAAAACAUGGGUUUGAGAAGAUAAAACCAAGAAAAAUAGAGUGAAAUCUCUUCUUCUCUCCUUCUGCGCCCUCUGCUUCUGUGCUUCUGCUCCCGUCAAUCUCUCCCUUUUCCGCUCCCCUCUAUUUCUUCAGUCUGUCCUCUCUGUCCGUACCUGCCCCCCUGCUUCUCUCUUUAAUUGUUGUUUUUAUUCUUUCUGCCAAUUUUUGUCAGUCCCGCCACCAAUCCACUUUUCCCUUUGUUUAUUCAUGCCGUGCUGCACUCUUUCUUAUUCUUCUAUUUUUCUUUGCUUUUAUCCCGUACUCCUCACUCCCUUUCCUGCUUUUUGUUCCACUUCCAUCCCAUGCGCACUCCACUUCCUUCCCACUCUUCUCUGUCUGCCGUUCUACCUCUUUCCUCAUUUUUUUUAUUCUGUCAGUGUCUCCCUUUCCGUCCCAUUUAUUUUCUAUUGUUUUAUUUUUUUAUUUAUUUUUUUAUUUCCUUUUCUCAAUUUUGCUUGAAAUUGAUCCUAAAACAAAAUUAACUGCAUAUUAACACAAGGUAAGGUAAAAUACCACAAUUUUAACACAAAGACUUUAGAAAUGGAUGGUAUAAAUGCAUGAAAUAUAUGAGUGAUCAGCAACCUUGUGAGACUUGAGCCUAAAUGUUUAUUUGGAGAGUUAAUAAUCUGUGCAUCAUUGUUUUCUAAAGUCAUUGCAUGAUCUCAUUAUUCUUUGCUUGGUUGCUACUUAGAAGGCGUUUCAUCAUCUAGUUCCAAAUGCUAGAACUUAUGCCUAUUUCAUUCAAAGCAUGCUAUUGAUUUGCAUAACACAUAUUCAAGAUGAAGUUGUAUAGUGACCACCAAAGCCAAAUUGUCGUGCCCUUAUUUCAUUAUGUGUUUAAGUUUAACCCCGUUGAGCCUUGUUAAGCCUAUGUUCUUUGUUAACCCACACUAUCCUUACCUAGCCUAGUGUUAGGACCAUCCACUUGUUCUUGAAGUAUAGUAAAGCAUGACUUAAAAUGAACUCCUUUUUUAUCAAUGUAUUGCAGAAAGCAAGUGUGGGGGGAAGUGAUUCUUGUGUGUGUGUGUGCCAAAGUCCUUAAUAAGGCACGGGUAGAGAAAAGAAAAAAAAAGUAUGAAAAAGAGCUCUAAAGUGUUGUUUGUUAGAAAAGGGUCCAAAACAUUGAAUUCGGCCCUAAGUGUUGCAUGAAUCUUCCCUUUGUAGUAAAAGUUGAUUCUGCAUUCUAAAGUGAAUUCCAAGUGUCUAUUUCAUUGCUUUGCUUGCUAUCGCUUUAAGAACGUUUGUUAUUCAUAUCCUUUCUUUGUUAGCCAUUACCCCCAAGCCCUAUUACAACCCUUGACUUCAAUCUUGAAUGUUGUGCGUUUCAAUUUGUGGAGUUUGAAAUUGGUAUGAGCAUAUGGUGUCACUGGUUCUCGCAUCUAAGUAGUAGCAUACCAUUCAUGAGAUCAUAUCUAAACAUGUUUAAUAACUCCAGAAAAUUGCUUCCUUUGUUAUAACAUAUGUGAGUCCCAGUCUCUAGUGUCGGGUGUGCAGUCAGAAAAAGUGUGUGAAAAUAGAAAGUAUCUUGUAAGGAAUUGAGCAAAUUCUCUAAGGCAUGUUACUACAUUCAAAACAUUGUUUUAAUUGGUUAAUUGUGAACUAGUAAGUAGUGACUGUGAUUAAGUUAGCUUGUUUCUUGGCGAUUACUUAGUUUAAUUCUAGUUAUUUUAGUACUUUAAGCUAUUUUCGUGUAUUUGUAGGUUCAAAUAACAAAGUUAGCAACAAAGUGCUAUUUGGAGCAUUUUGGAGCCUUUUUAGGCCAAAAUUGGAUAGUGCAAGCAUGGAGACAUGAGGAUGGACGUUUUUGAAGAUUUGAAGGCUAGAAAUCAGCAUGUUUGUGUGCAAGUGUGUUGACCUACAAUUACCAAACAUCCAUCCACUACACCCAUUACAUCCACUCAUUACCACAACACUCACCCACUACACCCAUUACAUCCACUCAUUACCAAACAUCCAUCCAUUACACCCAUUACAGACACUACAUUCACAUCUCACAACUCCAUACACUUACACUUUCAGUCCUUGGCUGAGAGAACACAAUCCACUCAUCCACCCUUCACCAUAACUCACCUAUAUCCAUCCACCACCAUAAUUUACCACUCAUCCAUCAAACCACACCUUGUGCCGCAACAAAGAAAAGAAAGAGAACCCUUGGACGUGCUUGGCAUUCAAGUUGGAUUGUUGGAGUGUUUUUAGGUGUUUUCAUUCUUUUGUUUUCAAUGUCUAAAUUUGUUUAUCUUUGCUUUGUGAGUAUGAGGAACUAAACCCCCCUUAGCUAGGGGGAAUUCAAAACCAUGUUCAUGCUUGCAAUAUGAUUUGAUUACCUUCAGUUGUGAUUUCAUAAGUUGUGAAUUCAAUUUGUUUAAUUGCUUGAUUGAUAACUUAUUCUUGUAUGUUUAUUAAGAGCGCACACUUAGUUUGCAUGCAUGAAUAUGAUGCUAGAGUAUAAGGGAGUUUCACCUAAUAGUUACAAAGUUAUAUUCAUAAGUAGUGGAAGUCGCUUAUAAACGAUCGCGUUAAAUAAAUUCUUGGCAGGAGUUUCAUGCUUAUCAUAGUAAUGAAUGCCUCGUCAAUACUUAUAGUUUUCAUAAUGCUUAAUGAUCUUUGAUUGUAUCUUUAUUGUGCUGUUCACGUAAAGAACUUUUGAAGAAUGCUUGAAUUGUUGUAUGUGUUUUCCCAUCCAAUUCAAUAACUUAAGGAGAACUUGAAGGUUAAUUUAAGCGGACUUAAUUAACCUGGGGUGUUGAGUUUCAUGAUUGAUCGAAAGAAAAACUGAAAAUUGGUUUAUGUGCAAGUAUGUCAUGUGUGGAGAAGAACCUCCUGGCUAGCCUUCCAUCCAUUCAAUUUACUCAAAUUUGUGCAGAUUUCAUUAGUUCUUUAAUUUACUUGUUUUGUUUUCAAAUUCGUCAAAACCAAAACCCCCUUUACUUUAAAGUGUUUUAUUAGUCAACAUCUGUUUUGAUUUGUGUUUUUAGGUGUCCCAAAAGUGUGUUAGAGUCCAAAUCUUCCCAGUUUGUGUUUUAGGCAGAUUUGAGCGUUUUUAGCUUGUUUUGAGUCCUUUGAGUUUAUUUUAAGUUCUUUGAGUCUAGUUUAGUGUUUUUAACUUUGUUUAUAUGUUUUUAAAUCAGUUUAGAGGUUUUAGCAAGCCCUCAUAAUCCCCAGUUUAGAACGAUCCUUACUUGCAUUUAUACUACAAUUUGACAACAAGAGGGUUUAAUUUGUGUGUUAAGUUAAAAUUCGCAUCACCUAGCUAACUGAAGGAUUUUGGGUCUCUUGGCCUAAUCCGUGGGGAACCGGGCUUUGAAGACAGAGGGGGCACAUAAUGUAGUACCCCUAUGGACGGCUACCCUAGAACCCUAAAACUACUACCGAGUGUACUAAGGUAGCCUACGAUUUUUGGAAGACUGCCUACAACUUACCCUUUAAGCAGUAAAGGCGCAUUAGACUUAUUCAACCACACAUUCUUAUGAAACAUUAAAUAGGCUAGCGUGCAUAUAUGAAGCUUUGUUCACUAUCGAUAUGCUACGUAGUCGAUAAGCUUAACCUCUGCCAAGUGUAGAAUGACCUACACCAAGUCGUAUAGUGUUGUGAUACUUGCUACACAACUUACAUAAUUAGAGAAAGCCAAGGCUAACAACCUAGUGGUUACGCGGACUUGUCAGCUUCUAUAAGUAAAACGAUUGGCUGCCAACCCUAUGGCUAACAACUUUGCAAAGUUCUACACCAACACCUACGACUACAUAGGCUACGCGGGCCUGUCUGCUUAUAGAAAAGUAGCAUGUCUACCACUGGUCUAUAAAGUCUAAGUGUUAGGGCAUGAACAAAAGAAGCAAAGAUGGAGAAAAAUGAAGGAAACAAGUUUAUUCAAUUUUCUAGUAAAAUUGAUAAACAACUAGCAAAGACCAAAGGAGUUCAACCAAAGCAAAAACAAGAAGGAAAACAAAGAAAAUCCUAAAGGCUACCUAGAAGACCACUCUUCAGCAGCUUGGACAUCUAAUAACUAUUAUGUUGCCACACCUUCAGCAGCCAUGACCCUCUCAGCAAUGGCACCAUCCGGCGUUUCACCCCCAGUUGCCUCAGCCUAGGCACCAACCUCUCCAACUACUUCACCAAUAAAAGCCUCAAAAGUAAAGGCAAGCAAGUCUUCAAGAGAAAUAGAAAAUGUCUCGAACCAGAAAACUUAAAGUUAGACGGCCGCCUAAAGAGAUGGUAUACAUAACCUAGCUUGUAGAAAUCAUCUUGACUCUGAGUAAGCAAAGCCUCAAACCUAGCCUUCUCACUUUUCAACUGCUCAUUCUCCUUGAGCAGACAAGCAUGGACCCGCUGUAGCUCUUCCACUUCUUUAUUCAAAAUGUCGUUGAUCUUCAAAGCACUUUGGAGUUCCAACACUUGAGGCUCAAGCCUAUCAACGACCUUCUUGAAGUGGAUCACUUGGUUGUAAGCAGCAAUCAGUUCUUCAUCCUUUGUUUAAGCAGUGGAGUAGAGCUCAAAGACGGCACGCUCAAGGUCUUGAAUCUGAGGUAUGUAACACCUGAUCUCCUUUUCUGCACUUUCAUACUUUACUUGGAUCGCGUCAAGCCUAGUUUUCAAAUCCACGAUCUCUUGGCGAGCGGUCUCAAGCUGUAAAGAAUUGGGGUUAGAAAUAUUAUACCUCUUCAAAGUAGCAAGCUCGGAUUCCAACUUCUUGACUUUCUAGGCCUAGGAGUAAGCUUCAGCUACCACGGUUCUUGCCACCUUUUUGGCAGCCUUGGUAUCCUCUUGAUCUAGGAACAUAGACUCGACUACUAGAAUCGCUGUUUUCCGCAUCAUAGCAAGCAGAGCAGUCCUCUUAUACUAAGUCGUAUGUUUCACAAAGGAACUAGGGCCAACAACCCCCUUGACGCCAUCAAUAAAUUUGGCACACACAUUCAUGUCCUCGAGCAGAUCUGGUCUCAAUAGCAUAUAAAUUUCAGCAGCUUCCCCAGAAACAGACUUGGUGGAUUUCUCACAACUACCCACACGAGCAGUCUCUUUCUUCUCAGUAGACGAAUCGGUUUUAGCAACAGAGGGAACAGGUUUUGGCGCCAUUUAGCAGGCAAAGGCACCUUGUUACUCUUCAUAGUAGCAAACCUCUUCAAAGGUGAACCAAACUUAGCCCCAGACGGACAUUUUGGCAUAAAUUUUGGCACUGAAGGCACAUAGGAACUUCUACGCUGAGCAAUCCUAUCAACAACCGAAUUAGCCACCUUUGGAACAGUAGAAGUCAUUGGCACGGAUCUAGUAGCUUCAUUCUUCUUACCCUUGGGAGAAGUUAAGUCAAUCACAAGCUUGGGAGUAGGUUCGCGCAGCGGAAGAAGUCUUUGAUUUUUCUCAGCCGGUGUCUCUUGAGCAGGCAGGGAACCCACCUUAAAGGCAAGCCACCUUUCUCCUGGCGAAAAUGACUAAGUAGCCAACGCCACUCACUAUACUCGGAAGGGAUACCUAGAACGACAUGCACUUUUUUCAUGUUUGAGAAGUCAUAAAGUUGAGCCAAAUUCUGAAUUUGCAAAAGUAACGGGAGACAAUCACAAAAUUGAAGAGCAACUUAGCAUAAAUACAAAGCAGUUGAGAGAUUAAGUAGCCUACUUACUCGAUAUGAAGAUCGUUGGAACACGCAACUCAGGGGAAGAAUCAGACUCUCAUUCUCCACUUAUCUCCAAAGUCUCCUUGGCCAAAUCAUGAUCUUCCUUGCUUGAAUGAUUGAAGAGCCUAUGGCGAGAUCGCAACUGUCCAACUUCCUCGAUGUGGCCUAUGUUAAAGAAGUACCAAAAUUCAUUGACGGUUAGAUCUAAGUCAAAGAAUCGGUUUAGAUUAAGGAAUCCCACCAUCACACAGACCGCAUUAAGAGAACGUUGACCGGGGGCACAUUUCAUGGAGCAGAGCACUUCUUGGAAGAAACGCAGCAUAGGAAAAGUAAACCCUAACACAAAUAGUAGGGGUUGAACUUGAUGGCUCUCCGAGCCCCACCACAUGGCUCAUGGCUACUACUAUCCUUGACACGCUUCACAUACACUCCUGACGGAAUAACAUGCCUAUACGCCUCAAGGAAGUUUUUAAACAAGUCAUCAAAGCUAAUUUUGAAGUGAGGUGCCUUGAAGUAGCCAACCUUGCUUAAAGACCCGCCUUGACGAUACAAUGGCAUCACACCAUCAUUAUUCUUAUGGUUCGAGGAAGACAUGCUUGAGGAAAUUCUACAAAGAUGCGAAGAAAAUUCGUUAGACGGCUGCUUGAAAAAAAAAUAAAAAAGAAAAGGGUGGGGCCUACCUCACGGCCCAAGAAAGCCUUUCGGCCUCUUUCUCUUCUCCCAAGCCCAGCGGAAAAAAAAAAAAAAAAAAGGGAAAACAGCUUAUGGCCUAAGACAGCUCAAGCGGACCAAACCCAGCAGCCCGCGGCCCACUCUAUUUCCUCUCAUACAUAGGCCCGAGCCUAAUAUUAAAAAAGAAAAAAAAAGGGAAAGCAGCUUAAGGCCCAAGACAGCUUAGGCGAGCCAAACCUAGCGGCCCGUAGCCCACUUCAUAUCCUCUCAUACACGGGCCUGAGCCCAGUAUUAAAAAAAGGCAUAAGGCCUCCCGGCCUAGGCACAGAGGCCCAGACAACAGUACAUAAACCCCUGUCAGGCCCAAGUUGAGCCACUACUGUGCCAAACCCACGGAGCCACCCCACGGCAACAACUAUGGCGUGUCCUUUCAGCCACCUUUUCAUACAUUCUUAACCCCUGUCAAGACAAAUUUCAAGCCUCAAGGCUCCUAAAAAAUUAAGAAGACAAAUAAAAUUAAAUUUUUCUUACCUUGAAGUGGCAUGAAGACGAAGCAAGCAACGAAAGACGAUCCUUUGCACGGGCAAGAUGUAGAAGAUUGCUAGAUGAGGGGAAACAAAUAUUCUCUAAGCUUUCUCUCUCUUGUAGGGAAAAAUAAAUCGCUCUCCAAAGUUGAUUUAAUAAUCUACUUAAGGUAGACUUAAAUAGGUUUUGAGAGAAAUUUAUUUCCCUUUCCUAGAAGGAUCUAAUUUUCAAUUCAAGAGAGAAUCAACAUCAAAAUAGGAAACAAUCCAAUGUUUUCUAAAGCAAGAAGAUCUCUGCACCUGUUGCCUUUUCCUGCGAGCAGCCCAACAAGUGUGGGUGCAUUUGCGGAGCAAAAAAUAAUCGAGAAAAAUAUGGAGGCGACACGUGGAUUCUAGGGUAAAAAAAGAAAAAGACACAAUUACCCUCGAGGCACACCGAAGCUUCUACGAGUAAGCAACGAACAAUCAUCACUCAAUCAAGGUCAAAAGUGAUGAAAAUAGGUAUUUACUCAAAACAUAUUUCAUUCAUCCUCAACAAAUCCUUCUCACAAGGUAACUCCUAAAUUAUUUCUUUCAAAUUAUAUUAAUUAGCUAAUUAAUUGAUUUAUUACUCAAUUAAUUUAUUAAUUAGCUAAUUGAUUGUAAUUAACACCAAAAAUACCUCAUAUGGCCGGUCCUCAUUCUCCUAAUAGGGUCGGCCAUACCCCUAUAAAUACCACUUCAUUUUCUCCAAAAACCUAAGUUGAAUCCUCUUGCAAAAUUUUCUAAAUUCUCCAAACACUUUUCCCUCAAAAUUCUAACUUUGGCAUCGGAGGUUCUUCGGCCAAAGCCCCCCCCCCCCCAAUUCAUCAUGGGCGCGUGAGGCUCUUGGCCUUGACCUAAGGUGUUAAUUGUUUUUGUAGGUGCAUUUUUGUCCAAAAACAAGGAAGAAAUUUGCAUCCACAUAUACGAUAAUAGAAUAUACAAGAUCUUUAAAAAUAAAAAAUAGAAGUAAAACAUAAGAGUCUAAUGUAAUCAUGGACUGCAAAUGAGAGAAGAUUAUGAUUCCCAAAACAUGUAUAAUUAUGUCCGUGCGGUAUGCAUGUCGUUCUCUUAUCUCUUUAUUUAAAAAUUAAAAUUAAGAGUGUAAUUGUGUUAAUAACUUGUUGGGAAUAAAUUAUUGAGAGAGAAAUGAGAGAAAUUGGGAAGAGAAAUCAAGGUGUGUCUUAUCUUUAGACCCCAUUAUAUAGGAAAGAGUAACUUAGAGGAGAAGCCCAAUUGUCUCUAAUCUAUAUCAAUGAUCAAAAGGAUUAAGUAACAAUUUGAAUUACGGUCUAGUUGUAUUCAUCUUCACUUGUAAGCGUGAGGUCUUAAGUUCGAUUCUCGCUAAAGGCGAAUUUGAACAAUGUUAUUGCUAGCCCAUUAUGAGGCUUUAGCUCCCCCUACCACAACCCCCCACCCCCUUAACGAUAUUUGCAAAUUUGAGCAACAUUAUUGCUAGCCUAUUGUCGGACUUUAGUUUCCCCUCCCCCAAUGUAAAUAGUAUCGUUUGUUCAAGAAAGAACGAUAAGGACUAAGUAACAACUGAUUAUGAAUAUGGAUAGCCACAUAGCAGAGCCCACAUUGAGGGGGAGCUACCGGUUCCAUGGCACAGGGUCCCAGAAUUUCGGGGGCUUCCAAAAUAGUUUUCUAUCUAAUCGGGUAUCCUAUGAAAUAAUAUUAUAUUAUUUAUAUAAAUAAAAAUACUAAUCAGAACCAAAGAAAAGAUAUAAAAAUCCUAAUGGGCCCACAAGCUAUAUGAAUGCCUACAUAAACCACCAAAUCGUAAGAAAUUUUAUAAAAAUUAUAAAAAUAAUGAUAUUCCUCACAAUGUUUCUCAAUUCUCACUCCAAGAGUCAUGGUCCACUUCUCUCUCUCACGCCAGACACCCCCUCUCCUGCUUCUUAGGUAUCUCCCCUUCUCACUACUUUUUUUUACACAAACCAUUAAACCCUAAAUUCAUAAUUUCAUGUCAUUGAAGAAAAUUUUCCAAAUCACAAAGACAAUUGAAGUGGUGUGGUGUAGACUUCGAUUAAAGUAAGGUAUUUACUAGUUCAAGUAUAUUAAGUUGGAAUUAGAAGAUUUAGGUAUUUUUAUUUUAUAAUGAUUAUUUUCCUUUUGUGCUUUUUAGGGCAAAGCAGUAAACAGAAACCAUUAGGCACACAUGCAUUGCGAACUAUCAGGUUUUAUUGUUUAGACCUAGUAUAAUUUAAUUGUGAUAUUGUUUGAGAUAUAAAAGAUGACUCCUACUAAAAAAAUAUUCAUGUGGCUACUUGAAAUGCCAAAGAAAAAAAGUUGAACAACUGACUCGUCUAAAAAACGAGUUAUUGAUAGGUUUUUUGUUAAAGAAAAAGAACCACGAAGUUCAAUUUUUUUUUUUUUUAAGAUUGUCUUAAGAAGGGCCCCUUUUAUAAAUUCACACAAAGCCCCCGAAAUCUCAAUGACAGCCCUACCACAUAGAUAUAAAUAUUUACUAUAAUAUUUAUUAUAUUAAUUAAAAGUUAGUCAUUGUUAACAUAACACAUGACAAUAUCUAAAGAUGGUAGUAAUGUUCACCACCUAAAGAUUAAAAUUUAAAACUUGGGGAUGCUUAAGAGCGGGGUUUUGUUUCUUCCAUGGCCCGAAGCAACAAGUAAAUUCUCAGGCUUAUUAUGAAAUGAAAAUCUAAAGGUGCUUAAGGAUGCACCAUUGUUGUUUCCUCCAUGACUUGGCGAUGAAUCUUUAGGUGGACUCUUAGGCAAAUUGCCAAAUGAAAAUUUGGAGGUGCUUAACAACAAACCAUUGUUGUUUCCUCCAUGGCUUGGUGCUGAAUCUUUAGGUGGACCGUUAUUGAAGGGCUUAACGAUGGACCAUUAUUGUUGUUUCCUCCAUGGCUUGGCGAUGAUUAUUUAGGUGGAUUCUUAGGCAGAAUUCCAUAGGAAAUUUUGGAGGUGCUGAACGACCGACCAUUGUUAUUUCCUCCAUGGCUUUGUGAUGAAUCUUUAGGUGGAUUCUUGGGCAGAAUUCCAUACGAAAUUUUGGAGGUUCUUAACGACGGACCAUUGUUGUUUCCUCCAUGACUUGGAGAUGAAUCCUUAGGUGGAUUCUUAGGCAGAAUUCCAUAUGAAAAUUUGGAGGUGCUUAAUGAUGGACCGUUGUUGUUUCCUCCAUGGCUUGGCGAUGAAUCUUUAGGUGGAUUCUUAGGCUUAAUUCCAUAUGAAAAUUCGGAGGUACUUAAUUAAUGGUCAGGCUUCGAUUUCAAGAAGGAUAAAACUCAAAGGGAGAAAAAGAAAUUGAGUACCAUAGCUUUGAGAACUUGGGACUACUCUUGCCAUUUUGGUAGUGAGUGACAAAUUAAGUAAUUAUUGUUCCAUUUCUAAUGUCUUUUUGUAGUGGCAUCUCCUUAUCCUUAUAGGCUUAUGUUAUUAAAAAAUGAAAUCCAAUUAUCAGCUUUUAUAGUAUUAAAUCAGCUAUAAUCAGUAGAAAAUCUCACACCUCUAGCAUCACCUACCAAGAAGGUAUAAGAAAUGAAAUAUUCAUGUGCAAAUUAGGUAAGAAAAAUCUUUUCUCUAGCUUCUUUGGAAGGUUAAUAUAUUUUCAUAACAAAAGAUGUACAAAACUGAAUGGUAAAGUGAGAUACUAAUUAAUUUUUUCUAUAAUUAGUGAGCACCCAGUUAUCUACUGCCUUCACUACUCAACGUUAGCUGAGGUCUUUUAACCUAAAACUCUCCGAUUGGGAACUUAGCCCUUAAGAGAGAAAUUUUUCCAAAUGUUCAGUAUUCAGAUCCAGUAAUUCCAUGUGUAAGAACAUAAAUGAAGAGACACGAAAAAAUAUAUAAUUUCCUCUUAUAUUUUAAUAUGUGGAUACCGCUGGAAUAGCUGGUAAUCUCUGAACUCAAAAACUAUUUCCUUUCGGUUGGAGUUUUUAGAAAGACAUUAAUGUCAUGUGUGUGUCGUAAACGACAUAUCUCAGUCAUAGGUUCGAAUGAUUGACCAAAAAUAUCCCUAGCUCCACUCAAUUGAGUUUUUUUCUAAUAAAUUUAUUCAUGAAAAUGUUUGUUUACUAUUAGAAUUGAAGUUGAUUUCAAACAAAUUGUUUACUAAUUCACCUCAACGGAAUCAAAUUUAGCUUGAUUACUAAAUUGUCCUUAUUCUACAUAAAUUAGUUUUUCAUCCUGAUAUUAGUAAAGUUUUAAUUUAUUUAACAUAUAUUAAUCAAAUUUGUCUUUAUAAAAUAGGGGAAGAAUGUGGCAACCUAUACCUAAUUUUACGAUUUUAUAAAUUUUAAAAGAGUGAUUUGAUGAAAAUGUCCUAGAGCCAAGAAUUUUGACUUUCUUUAGCGUAUUUGUAUAGUAAUCAAUGAUAUGAACGUGUGUGCACAAGCGGAAUCGAUUUUGGAGUUACGAUUGAGAUUUUACAGACUUACGAACGCAAAAGGCAAUUUCGUAAUCACAGCACCACCACACAUUUGGGACCUAUCCCUUCCAGAUCUUUGGGACCUAUCCCUUACUGCCACCUCACCUUGUCUCUCUUGGCCCUUUCUUCCCUCAACUCCCUUCCUCUCUCUACUCUCUCGUCCCUCAACUCAUUGUCACUCUCUCACCAAGCACCCCAAAACCAUAACCACAACACCACCACUCGCCACUCCCUCCGACAAGCAUCACAACCCGUACUAUAGAUGAAAACCCGAGCUUCUAGACUAAGAUUUCACUCUCUGCACAGUAGCAGAGGUCGAUAUUCAUCCCUUUCGCGAUGGACCACGGGCGAACUCUUGACCAUCUCUGGCUAGCUAAGGAUCGAGCAUCUUUAAAUCAUGUUUUUAUCCUCGUUUUGGAUUGUUUUCUGAGUUAUUGGUAUGAGUUGGCGAUGAUUUGGUGCAAGAAACAACGCGGGGGGAAAGCUCCCAGUUUUUUGGUGGAGAUCUCACAACUUCAACCCCUUUUUCAGGCCAACUCCGGCCACGGCCGAGGAACCCAAUGGUACAUUUCAAAUCUUUGUUCCUAGAUCUUCGAUUUGGUAUAUUGGGUGAUUAGGUUUAGUGAAGAUCUGUGGUUGAUCGAUCCUUGUUUUGUUCCCCGGCCGAGUUUUUCCAAAAACCGGUGACCAGAUUUAAAAAAAAUAAAAGAAAAAAUAAAAGCCUUAAGCCCAAACCUAGCCCAAACCUUUGGGUCGUUGACCCAUGACCCAUAACCCAGAUCCGUGGGCCAGAUCCAGCCUAGAUCCAUUUAUGAAAUUGGAGGGAAUAUUCCCUUAAAAUAUUACGUUAACUUCCAGUUAACUUUAACAUAAUAUAUCUGAGGAUGAAAUAUUCUGUUAAAGUUAACUGUUGAUCGUUAGUUGACUUUUUUUAAAUUUUCUCGAAAACCCUCAUAGGCUAAUUUUGACACCCCAAGUCCCUUUUAUACAUCUAUUUAGCGAAAUUUUCAAAUUUUAACAUAGUUGAUUGCCUGGGCGAAUCGGUUGACCUUUUAAGGUUGACGGUUAACUUUUCGUUGACUUUUUACGAAAAUUACCCAGGACCAUUUUUAUCGUAUUGCGACGCACUGAUUCUGAAUCCAUCGUCCGUUUAUCCAAAUUCAAACGUUUUAAUUGAGUUUUACUAAUGGGUCUCAAUAUUAUGCUUAAGUGCGAUUACUAUCGAAUACUUCAUCUAUCGUAGUUCGAACAGCUGCGACCUCACAAGUAUCUGUAAGUAGGUCUAUAUAUAUAUAUAUAUACACAUACAUAAAUACAUAUAUAUUUUUUGUUUCCAUAUAUACAUCUAAUAAUGACUUUUAUAUAUGAUUGUCGUAAUUAAAUUAACAUUUAUAGGAAAUUACAUGACGGUGAGAAUUAGGAAUUCACUAUAAAUCUUACGGGAUGCCUUAAUUAAUUUUAUGGCUAUGAAUAAUAUUAUGUUGACUAGAAUUAUCGAAUCAUUGCGGCUUGACUAUAUUUAUGUUAUCUGCUCAUCGUUUGCUGCAUCGGUGUUAGUACUUGCCCGGGUCAGGGUCAGUCUUACACUUGUAUAUGUACAUCGCACCGUAUGCUCACUUUGGAUCCAUUGUAAGUGUCAGUCCUGUCCUAAAUUGCUAUAGGCAAUUAGGACUCAUAUGUGCUACGCAUAGCACCAGUCUAGUACUAGAGUGUAUAUCAUUGUUACACCCAGUCCUGUUCAUGUCAGAAUAUCUCUACAUGAACUCGUGUGUCAGCAUGUAUCGAUGAGCACUCGAUAUGAUAUGUUUGCUUAUGCAAGAUUAUAUGAUUACGAACGUCAUGUGCUUACUUACGAAAUAUUGUGCCAUAUUGAAUUCUUGACAUUUUGCAAGUUACGAUAAGUAUUUUCUUACUAUACGCAGUAUGUAUAUUUUGGAAACUGUACUUGUUUUACAGCUAUGUAUAUUUUGGAAACUAUACUUGUUUUACGGCGAGAGGUUAUUAUGUUUUCGAAAAGGUUUUUUAUAAAACUUUAUUUUUAAGUCCACUCACCCUUGUUUUUCACCCCUCCAAGUUUUAGUGCUGAGUUUUCGCUUCGAUGAUGAUUCUUGGCAAAUCUUGGUAUAAGUGGUUACCUUCGAUGGUAUAAUUUUCAUCCUACUUUACCGUACUUUACUUAUACUUUGACAUCACGUGCAAAAUGAGUUUAUUCCCACUCACAUGAGCACUCUUGUAUUAGGCACUUUUAGGUUUAAAUUUAUUCACAUUUUCCACAUCACCACACUUUAUGGCUUCGUCACCCUUCUGAUAUCGGCCAACACAAUUCGAUUCGGAGUCAAGGUAGACCUUCCGGGUUGAGAUGUGUCAAAGAAAGUUUUUCUAUCGACAAUAAUUGAAAAAAAAAUUUAACAUAAAAGUAAAAGUAAAUCGAAAAAACCAUAGCAACAAACAAAGGUGUUGAAUAUAAGUCCCACAUUAGGUAAUUGGGAAACUAAAAUAUAAGAUAUAAGUGUAUGGUUUCACUCCCAAUAACACUGAGGCCUUUUGCGGUAAAACACAACACCUAGCAAUAUAUAGGUGGUUGAGUUGGGACAAUAUCAGAGUGGUUAGAAGUGGACCAAUUACCCGUCUCUCUAAAUAUUUGACAUGGUAUCAGAGCAUGUUUGAUUGUGGGUCUUGUGGGUCCAUAUCAUGCCCGAGUUACCGGGCCAUUCAAGAAUUCAACUCCGGCAAUAUCAGGAGUCAGAUUCCUGUUAUGGGGUGGGAUCCAACCGAAUUUUGAUUCCUACAUCAUCAAUAAACACUUGAAUUGAUUGAAUCUGUGCAAUUCCAUCUCCGUCCAUUCUAUUCCUCAUUAGUAAACGAGCCAUGAAUUUAUCAGGAACAUAUUCAUAUCUAAGAGCACCUGAUGCUUUUAUUCUAUUUUAAUUUAUUUUUAUAGUUAUUGUCUAAUUAUUGUAUCAGUAUUAAGCAAAAACUACUUAUAUGGGGUUCAAAGCUCUUCACUUCUUUCAGUUCAUCCAUCAUUAUUGGUGAACUCAAACUUCAUAGGUUAAUAAAGAAAUAAAUAGUAACAAGCAAAAUACACUACAACAAAAAGGGCCAAUGCGCACAAUAAAUUAUUUGUGCCCUUUGAGGCCAAAAAGCACCAACAAUUGUGCUAAUAGACCAAUACCAACAGUGCAGCAACUAUCUUUGUGUAUGUGCCCUCUAUGGGCGUCACCAUUGAUCAAUGGGCACCAAUAGUUUUUUGUGCUCAGAGAGGUGAACACAAAUAAGGGUCUUUUUGUGCCGUUUCUCUGACAAGGUUGUCAGAUCACUUUUUUUCCAUCCAUGAUGGCACUUCAUAUUGUAAUUGUGCCAAUAUGAAUUAAAUAUUAAAAAAAAUCAAAGUUUGAAACUAAAAUUAAGGAAAUGAAAAUUUUUAAUUUUCUUAAAAUGAAAAGACCUACAACACAUUCCCAAUCUCACAUACAUAAUGUAAUGUUACAUAUUUUAUCUCUAAUACAAUAAAACUUGAAAGCACAUAUUUUUGGACAAAUGCAGUUUCCCCAGCAACCCUUGCACCUCAUCAUAAGCCAUAACAAAUAUAGUCGAAUUCAAAACAAAAUAAGUCCAAAAUUACGCCUAAAAAGGAGUUAGUUAAAAUCAAUACUUAAAAGUUCCAAAUCUGCCAUAUCAAAGAUUCACCCCUUUUCCCAACUUGGUGGAUAGUGCAAUCAUCUUCCUGAAAUCCAAAUGAACGUGAAAAUGAAAAAAAGAAAUGAAAGGACCUAUUUCCAAUCAUGUUCAAGGACCAAAACUUUCAAUCGGCAUUAAGAACUCAAUAGCAGUGAUGCAUUGCUACUUUGUUAUACCAAAUUACAACAUACAAAAUAUGCAACUAAACUAAGCAGCUAAACCAUCAUUAGUGCUAACAAGAUGUACAAAACAAUAAAAGUUUGGACAAUCAUUGUUAUGACAUUAAUUUCUAAGAAAGAAAGAAACUGCUAAGAACCUUAUAGGUUUGCAACACACAAGCUAAUAAAUAAGUAUUUUGAAUUCUAAUUUUCAGCUUUAGAGAAGUCUUUCAUGUUUCCAUACGGAAAGAUAAGAUUCAUGGAGCUGUUUAAUUUCUGAAGACUGCAGGUUUCCUCACUGUUUAGUCUCUCCUAAGAGCAACCUAAACACUUAACUACAGCUAAAAACUUGCAACAAAGCCCUCAAGUGGGUACUUGUAGGUUGUACCAAUGUAAUAUAUAGUAAGAAACAUACUCAUUAUUAGACAUCGUAGUGUUUUAAGGAGAGUGAAAACUCAAAUUCGAUCUUCACACUUCUGCAUGCACUUUUGUUAUCAACAUAACAUGAUCAUCAAGAAGUUAAAUGAAGAUAACAAAUUAAAUUUAUGUUCAUUUGCUAAUAAUGAAACAAGUAACAAACAUACUUCAUAAGUGAAGGUAUUUUCCCCAAUUGUCAAAGCCAUAGCUCUCCAGCAAGGCAUCAAAGAACAAACCUCUUUUCCUUGAAAGCGAAAACAGUUAGGAUUAAAAAGGAAAAAUUGACGACCAUGGUGACAGUACAAGAAAUCAGUCCAAUGCAAUGAGACAAAUCCGACAAAAUUCACUCUAAAUGCCACAUGAAUUUUAGUUAUUGAAAUUUUGAGAAAGACUGAAAAUUCAUCAUAAUGAAAAUAUGCUUAUCAAUGACAACGCACAACAUUGUAACAUUACAUUCAGAAAAUGGUUUUGAUUGGUUUUGAUAGGAAGCAUUGUAAGUUAAUCCCAAACAUUUAAUUCAUGCUUCCAAAAUUAACAAAUUCUACAACUGCAAGAGAAACCCUACUUAAAUAUCUUAAAUGCCAAAACCAAAAACUGCCCUUAUAUGCUGGAAGAUAAGAUCCUACCAUCUUCUCUGUAUUCUCCACCACAGUUGCAUUCCCAUAUCUGCAUUACCAACAACAACAACAACAAAGCCUUUUCCCACUAAGUGGGGUCGGCUAUAUGAAUCCUAGAACGCCAUUGCGC
rnacentral:lncRNA from 1 species